CGGCGGCGACAACGACGACGAGGACGCCGAGCUCGACGAGGCGUCCACCACCACCGCCGCAAGGCAACAUCAGUAUCAUCACCAGCAGCAGCAGCAGGAGUGCUACGCCUCUGACCACUUCUUCUGGAACGACAUCGCGGCGGCGGAGGCGGCGAGCUACAUGUUCAUCGACGGCUUGGCAGGAGCCGGUCCCGGUGGUCAUCCCGCAACCGCAGAGGUGGGCGCGGAGCCGCCUUCGUCGCCGACGUGGGAGUACUGCUCGGAUUACUCGCUCUGGAGGAUCGACGACAACGAGUACUACAAGAAGAUGCUCGACUCCUCCUGAUUUCAUCAGGAGCCAUCUAUAUAUGCAUAUCGAUCAUUAGCUUAUUUGUUUUCUGCUGUUUAGUCUAGCAGCUAUAUGAAUUCAAACGUUCGCCUUUAAUAUUUCGUUGCAUCUGUUCGUAUGUUAUAUGUAAUAAUAUACUAAGUACAUAUAUGUAUUUGCAUCUGCAUACUGUAACUACAUAGUAUAUAUCUACACGUAGUGACGUACUUUGAAGCAUAUAUAUGUGUGUACGAAACUACGGUGCAUGCAUCUGCAUACUGUAUCAUAUUGUACGAAACAUGUCAUUAUUAUUGUCUUGUGAUUUCUGAAAGAAUCAGUUGAAACUCGACAACAAUUGUAGGGUCAUGCUGCUUCUAUAUAUGUAUAUUCAUGUAAUAAGAUUAUAAGUGAUUAUGAGAUUAAUUUGUAUAUGAGAUCUUCUGUAGUUUCUGAGCAACUAUGUUUGUCCUGAAUCUCUUAUGCCUCAGCAACCUCUCUACUUUUUUUUUGAGGUAACCUCUCUACUUAUUUUAGAGGAUUAUAUAUAAUGGUGGAAGGAAAAUACUGCACAUGUACGCUUCAAUACUGAGUUACUGACCCGACAACUUCAUUCACCACCAAAUAAUUAAACUAAACAUGAAGCAAAAGACAUGUUUGGAUCAUCCUUGAUAUUAUAAUCAGACAAAAAUAAUUUCUAGGUGAUCCAAACAUCCUAGAUUAUGAGCUUGAUUAUAAUAACCUAACUUAAAUAGAUUAUUGUAAUCCUAUAUAAUCCAUCUAAAACUUACUCCUAAGCCAUAACAGGAGAGUACUAUAGAUGAGUGGGAAAUAAUAAUCUAGUACCUAUAUAUACAAUCUAGGACAAUUUAAAAAAAAAACCCAGAUUAUUACAACUAAUCCUUAUCACAACUCAUCAGAUUCUAAUAACCCAAAAGUGAUGCAAACAUGCCAUAAGGACUUGUUUAUAAUUAGUUACAAUACUCAAGUAAUCUUGCCUGGUGCUCUGUGCAACCUGAGGCAGGCCAUGGCCAUGAACCAAAUAGGCUUUAAGUGCGCUGCGGGUCUCUAAGCUAGAAUCUGCACAUCUCGGAACUUUUACACUCCAAAGCUCUAAAUUUUGAAUUUUCGUCCAAGAAACUAAAAACAAAGAUCCUUAAUCCUAUAACUGCAAACAGGGUUACAGGGAGGUGCAAUGUGCAUGCAUGGGAAUCUAUAACUAUAUAUCUAACUAAAUUGAUUGAUGCCAUGGAAUGGAAUGGAAUUGGAAUUGGAAUGAAUAUGAUGGAAGGAACAAGGCAAGGCCCGUGCAUUGCAGCUAGCAUCGUCAAAAUAAACCAUCCAUUUCCAUUCCAAAGCUACGGCCAAUUGGCCAUUGGCCCGGAGUGAGCGCUUACUUUUCAGACCGUGCCACGUACGCGCAGGUCCCAAUCCCACCUUUUUCCGUGCAUCGAUCGCAUCCACCAUGCACCUUUCCAUAUCCCAAAUAGUACUUGCUAUUUGACAACACACCAAGAACGAUUAGUUAGCAGACUAUCUAGUAAUAGAAUAUAGUGUAUUACAACUUUUAAAAUUUGUACUAAAAUAUAUAUUUGUACGUGGUGCCAAUACACAUAUUUAUCAAAGUUUGUCCAAACGGAAACUAAUUUAAGAAGAAACUCCUUAAUUGGGUUUAACCUAUGGGUAAAUGUGUAAAUGUAUCAUUCGAGUAUUCUCUCUAGCUGUCUUAAAAUUUCUGAAAUGCACCGAUGAUGGAGGGAGUAGUAAACUAAAGCUAAUCGCACAUUUAUUAUACCACAUGAGUUUUUUGUGGCCCACAUGUCAACCACAAAGUGUAGGUAGCCUUGCAAAGUUGCAAGUUGGAGCGCUAUGUAGAGAAAGUAGAAUGAAAAUAGUGGCAGAAAGCUAUAGUGAUAAUAGGAAUGCUCGCAUAUAAGUACCUUACCUAGUUUGUUUGUUCCUUUUUAAAAUUGCUACACUUAGCUUAGACCCAACCUAAUUCAGAAUGAGCAUGAUCUUGAUGAAUCACUAACAUACUUGGCCGUAUAGCUCCUAUCGUCCAGCUUUGUCCUUUCGUGAAGACUUUUGUCGUCCUAGCUCCUAAUCCUAACUUAGCAUUAUCGUUGUGCUUUCUUUUACAUCCACUAGUUGUUCAUCACAACCCUUUUUUCAGACACAAACAAGGCCAUUUUUAAAAUGUUGAGUCGCUCAUGGUGAAGUACUAGACAAUAUUUUUGUAAAACAAACAUGACCAUAAGACUUUGGAUGUUGUGAGCAUUUUUAGUGCAUAGAUCUGAGACUGGUAUCUACAAGCAAGUUUUAUGCUUGUAUUAGUAGAUAGAUUUGAGAUUGUAUCAUGGACAUCGAACUUACCACCCUUCCUAGAGAAAUGCCCCCAAUAUCUCUAAUAAGCCAUGGAAAAUCCUAGCUAAUUCCUUUCUAAGCUAUUGAGAAGCUCAUGUUGAAAACAAUUUGGUUGCCACGACAAUAAUGCUCAACUAUGAGCCAAGGACUUUGAUAGUGACACGAGUGGAAGAGAAAUAAUUUGGUCAUGAUUAUGCAUAAGCAUUUUAAGCCUAGCCCACCAAUGCCCAAAACUCACCCAUGGUCCAUGCUAAAAAAAAGUAGGCUUUCUCGAGCUAUUGGAAUGCUUAAGCUAGGCUAGUAGGCUUGAAACAAAUUAGGCUGAGCCCAAGCCCAACCCAACGCACAUUUCCUCAUUUCCCUGUAUUUUGCUCCACGAGCCGUCCUUGUCUUGCUCCUCUGUAUUGCCCUUGCUACGUACUUCCAAUUAACACACUAUCCUAGUUUGUUUGUUUUUUCAAACCGAGGGUUGAACCCCAUUUCCAUUAUGAAGAUAACGAAAAUUCAGUUUGUUGAGGGUAGCAACAGACAUCAAGAAGCUAGAACUGCAGGACAUUAAGGCCUUGUUUAGUUUCACACUUUCACCCAAAAAAUUCAAAAUCUUUUAAGAUUCUCCGUCACAUCGAAUCUUGCGGCAUAUGCAUGGAGCAUUAAAUAUAGAUAAAAAAUACAGUAACUAAUUGCAUAUUUUAGCUGUAAUUUACGAGACGAAUCUUUUAAACCUUGUUAGUUCAUGUUUGGACAAUAAUUACCAAAUAUAAACGAAAGUGCUACAUUACCAAAAAAAAAUUCAGCAAGGAAACUAAACAAGGCCUAAAGACUAGAACCUGAGCUUACCAAACCUGACGUCAACAGACUACUAAUGAAGUGAGAACCCCAAACGGGAGCCACAGAACAGACUCCAGAAACAACUUAACAAGUUUAAACGAGAAUAAGUAAGCAAGACAUAAUGAGCCUAUUACAAAAGUUAGCGGAUCCACAGCCGCUCCAGUUUUUUGGAUCAAAGAAUUUUGUCAAUCAGCUUGAUGGCUAUCAGUAUCACCCGCACCUUGCAGCAGCUGAGGAUCAUCACUCCGGGGCUUCUUGUUCAGCAGCUUAGUUGUAAUCCUUAGCAUGGUAUUGGCCCCUUCCUCCAGAGCCUCUCGGUCCAUUCCUGCAUAUAUGUACUGCCAAUAACUCAUAAGGGCACAUGACAUACAAUCGAGAUUGGAUUUUGAAUUAAUUGCCUUCAAAACACAGCUUAUUUCUAGCUUUCCAUAUUGCCCAGCAUGGCAGCAUAUGGUGGCUCAGGGAUGAAAACGGUACGGAUAUUUUCCGACCGUAUUCGAGACCGAAUUCGUUUAGAGGGGUUCAGAUCUGUCCGUAUCUGAGUCCGAAUAUUUAACAUCUGAUACCGUAUCCGUAUCCGAAUACUUAAAUCGUAUAUUUGUGAUGUCGAGAUCCAAUCAUAUCUUAUCCGACAUGCUAAUUAAUAACCAUAGCUUGUUUAGCUGUUGGCAUCACUCAUCAGUGGAUAUGCUUAGUGAUAAGCUAGACAUCAUCAUUCAGUAAUCGUCUAGAAGGUCUGAAAGAAUCACAUCGUUGACGUUGUUUAACGAUAAGCUGGCUAGCAAGGAUGGAUGAACGGAGUAGCAGAUGUCUGAUGAGAUGAUGAGGGGACUCCUCAGUAGUUAAGCGACUAAGAUUGCCUACCGUCUGAUCCUUUCGUUUCACUUUCUAUCAGAUAUUGAUAUGCAUGGAGUAAGCCUUGUUACUUUCAUAAUUAUCAGUACUUAUCAGUUAUACUGUUCAUGAUAAUUAAUUAAGGAUAUGACUACCAAAGCAAUGGUAACUAAUUAGCGUUGUGGAGACACAAAGUCACGAAUCUAUCCUGAAUCGACACUGAGUAGAGUGUCAUAUCUUGAAUUAUUCCUUAUUGUUCCGUGUAGGAGUUUCUUGUCCUCUGAAAGAAACAGGUGUCCCCAAUCUCACCAGCUGAUGUUCAUAGUUUUGAUACUUAUCAAUAUAGUAAAAACUAUGUAUACUUUAAACUUGGACCAUUAAUAUCUCUUCAGCUUGUCUAGUACUAAACUUUGGAAAUAAAAAGUGUAUCACUAGAUUUACUUGGAAAAUAGUACUCCCUUUGCUUUUUUUUACAAGGAGAAUUUUGUUUUAUAUUAUGAUAAGACUCCUUGGAUCGACAAUUAGUCUAUCUAGGAAUAUUUCAUCCAUCGGAUACAAAAUUGUGAUAAUGAGUAGGCAACUUUUAAAGAAGAAUGUAAUGGCAUAAAUUCUUCAUUGAAAAAAUUAUACAUUGGCAGAACAAAUCAGAACUUGUCCGAACCAAAUGAAAUAAGUCCUGUACAAUUUCAACUGAGGGAGUAUCACUUGACUAAUAAUAAGGGCAUCAAAGUGAUAAAUAAAGGCCCCUAAUUAAAGACCUUAAGUGUGUUUCUUAAACCCGCUCUCUACAUCAUCGUUUGGAGAGAACCAUGUGAAUAAAAAAAUUGUUCUUUAUAUAUAUCUUUCCACCCUCCAACAGUUAAAUAAACACAAUCGUCAUUUGGAGAAUCAUUUGAGGAAAAAAAACGUUCAAUAUAUAUAUAUAUAUAUAUAUAUAUAUAUAUAUAUAUAUAUAUAUAUAUAUAUAUAUAUAUAUAUAUAUAUAUAUAUAUAUAUAUAUAUAUAUCUUUCCGGCCUCCAAUAGUUAGAUAAAUACGAUAAUUAUUACUCUAUCCAUUCCAAAUUGUGAGGCGAUGAAAUCCCAACACUCUGAAUGCCAGGUAUGGACACUUAUUGUCUCUUGUUCUGACUAUAUCGAUAUCGAGCGCCAUCCAAAAUGGACACUUAUUUAUGACUGGAAUACUGGAUGGAGGAGAACAAUUACGUUAGAGUAUGCUAGAUAAAUACGAUAAUCUUAUUGCAAUUUAGAUAGAUGUGAUAUAUAUGGCCUCUAUCAUGCGGGCGGCACUGACGAUCGUCACCACGCACCAUUACGCACUAGCUAUCUCACCUGCUGCCUGCCUGCCUGCCUUCUCUCUGCUCAAUCUCUUAGCCAUCCAUCCAUCCAUCAUGCGCCAUAUCCUCCACCACCAUGCAUUAUACUAUGUGCUCUAUGCUAGCCCAACUACCCAAGUGGACCUCAUAUAAAGGGGAGGCCAGCUGAGCCCAGGGAAUCAAGCAAGCUGUUUCCCCCUGUUGUUUCUUCUUCUUCUUCCUCAGCUCCUUCUUCCUCUCGAUCGAUCGAUCGAGCAUCCAAGCUUGGUCUUUGUUUCUGUCGCUGGAGGAGGUGUAGAUAGCUAGCUAGCAACCGACCGAUCGAUCGACCAUGUCGUCGUCCUUGUUGUGUAGGCGCAGGAACCACAAGAAGGACGGCGAUGGCGAGCAUCAGAUCAUCAUCAGCACCAGCACGCCGGCGGCGAUGAGGAAGGGCCCGUGGACGGACGAGGAGGACGAGCAGCUGGUACGGUUCGUGCGCCUCUUCGGCGAACGCCGAUGGGAUUUCUUAGCAAAGGUGUCAGGUUUGCGCGGUGGCGGGUGCGUCGAUCGAUCUUCCUCCAUCCAUGCCUGCCCUGCCAUCUGCAAUUCUGCAUGCAUGCGUGCAUGAGAUUGAGGAGGAUCGGUCGACACAGUGAGAUCUCCAUCGAGCAGUGUCGUUAACCAUUUGCUUCUUCUUCGUCUGUCUUCUUUGUUCUCCCUCUCUGCAUCCAUCAUGCUGCAUGCGGCUCGAUCGAUCGAUCUUGUGGUGGAUGGAUGGACGUGCAUGCGUGCGUGGUGGUGGUACGUGCAGGUCUGCGGCGCACCGGCAAGAGCUGCCGCCUCCGGUGGGUGAACUACCUCCACCCGGGCCUCCGGCGAGGCCGCAUCACCGCCGACGAGGAGCGACGCAUCGUGGAGCUCCACGCGCAGUGGGGAAGCAGGUGGUCGCGCAUCGCCAGGAGCUUGCCCGGACGCACCGACAACGAGAUCAAGAACUUCUGGAGGACAAGGACCAGGAAGAAGGCUCUCGAGGAGAGGAGGGCGGCAGGGGCGGCUGCGGCCGUGACAGCGACGGCGGAGCCUGCUGCGUCGUCGUCGUCCUCGGUGACGAUGAUAUCCGAGUGCCGCCCCGGAUCCCCCAACAGCGGCGCCGCCACCACGUCGUCCUCGUCGGGGGGUUCGUCGUCGUCGCUGCGGGAAGAGCGCCCCGGCGACGAGGACGCCGAGCUCGAGGAGGCGUCCACGGCCACCACCGCGGCAGGGACAACCAAGCAGCAGCAACAGCAACAGCAGCCGUUGCCGCAGGAGUACUACGACGGUUGCUCCACCAUGGACCAGCUGUGGAACGAGAUCGCGGCAGCCGACGCUGCGGCGAUGAGCUACGUCGUCGACGCCUGCUGGAACGGAGCUGGUCAUUAUUACUAUGGCGCUGCGGCCGCUGAGCCGCCGCCGGCGUCGCCGCCGUGGGAGUACUGCGGCCCAGACUUUUCGCUCUGGAGGAUCGACGACCAAGAGUACUACAAGAAGAUGCUCGACUCCUCCUGAUAUCCGAUUCAUGGCGUAUCCAUCAAUCAUCUACACGCGCUUGUGUGCUCUGUGAAUUUCCAAGCGAGGAACGAAUUACUUAACGGUAGGGAUGGUAGAUUAUCAUCUAUCGUCUUAGACUAAUUAAUUAGUAAGAGCUUAUGAAUCUAUGAUGAGAGCGAAGUAGAUCAUGCAUGGUGGUGAGAUGAGAGCGCUUUGUAUUAAUGGUGGUUAAACUAGUGUGAUCGACUGAUGAAUAUAAUAUAUAUGUAGUUUGCAUUUGUCUUAAUCGAUUGAUCGAUCUCUGAUCGACGGUACUUGUAUAUUAUGUAACCUAGCUUUACUUAUUGGUUAUAUUACUACUUGUUGUGGCUUAAAAGAUGGAUGAUAUGAAAUCUGUCGGUGAGUUUUACCAUGUGCAUUUGCAGUUAUAUGUUGCACUGAUUAUUAGUAGUAGUAUUAGGUGCGGUGACAAAAGUAUAAGCUGAGAGCAAGCAGAACAAUGAUCAAUUGUGAUUUCACCAAAGCGAGUACAGGGUAUAUAUAUAUAUAUAGAUUCUCACUCCAUUUUUGCUCUAUAUAUGUGCUACUUAUCAUAAGUUCAUAACACUGAAGAAAACACAAAACGAAAAUGAAAAAUUUAUGUCAUGCAACAAGGAAAAGAAGAUCCAUCAGAAGUUCACUAAAGCUUGCCUUGACUGAAACGGCAUAUAUUCAUCAUUAGGAGCUAAUAACGAAAGUGUUUCUCAUCAUCAUGGAAUUUCAGUUUGACCGCUCCUGAUGAACACGUGUCAAUAUAUAUGCAGACUCUUGCAAAGAAAAUAAAUAACAGAAUCGUAGAGACUACAGAAUCUGCACCAGAGAAAUUGAAAUUUAUACCACAAAAUUCCAUAUUCGAAGAGAGUGCACGCAUGAUAGAUGCAUCCAUGCAUGCAUGGCGGCGGUGUGGUUGAUUGCUUGCUGCAUGGGAAUCUAAUAAUGGGACCCUAGCUCCCAGCAUCUUUGAUAUAUCGAAGAGAUGCUUGGUGAGAGAUGCAAGAGCAGCAGGAGGAGGAAGAAGAGCAGCAGGGAGGCUAGCCUAGCGCCAUUGUUGGUGCAGGUCCCUAUCCAAGCUUUUUCCUUGCGUGUGCUGCCACCUUUCCAUAUCCCUCUAAUCGUGUCAGAUUCCAAACCCCAUCGUCGCAAACUAAUAACACUAGAUUUGAUACUAUAUAGCAAGUGUAUGUGAUGAGAGUGAUCGAUGGAGAUUAGUGGGUGAACCACAUCACCUGUACGUGGGGCCAUAUCCUGGACAAUGAAAAUGCUACACGCACACACACACAAAAAACAAAACAAAAUAGUAUCUAGGUAAAUGCCCAUUUAAGUUACUGCACAUCAGCCUUUUUGUUCCUUUUGUUUCCUGUUUUUGGCUAGUGUUUUGUUUGCUCUUCCUUCUAAUAAUAUAGCGUGACAAAAUCUCUUGUAGUCCUUUUGGAACAAAACCAUGUUUGCCUGACCUCCUAAACUUUGCUUUUCACUAUCUAGCAUAAAACCAUCAGGAAUUACUGAAAUAUAUUUAGGAAUGAUGCAAUUCCAGAUAGCAAACCAUGAGGAAUAUGCCGACAUGAGCUGGUAAUCAGGACUUUAUUUACUCUAAUCCUAUGAUUUCUUAAAAUCAUAUCAAUAUUCAGCUUUGCUUGUCAGCCAAUUUCCGUUUUCACCUGCUUGGAUUAGUCUUCAUGGAUCACUGCAGGUCCAAACCUAGCAUCGUUGCUAGCUAGAAUUAGAGCCAACAGAGGGUAAUCGGUAGUGAUGAGCUUCAACAUCUUCCUAGACUCAGCAAUGGUAGGAAGAUUGAACAAACAAAUGUGCAUCCAAUGUCAUCAUAUGGACUCGGAACAUAAGAUGUUUUGGUAGACUAACUUUGUGUGACUAAUACCAAACAUCAUAUAUAUAUAUAUAUAUAUAUAUAUAUAUAUAUAUAUAUAUAUAUAUAUAUAUAUAUAUAUACACACACACACUAAAUUGUAGUUGCCUACGCUUUGCCAUAGUGACCUUAGAUUGUAAGUGAAGGCUAAGCAACUCCAUCGGUUCUUCUAUCCUCUUUCCACUACGGGAAACUGCUGAUUUGCCGGGUGUAAAAUAGUUUGCCGGAAGCUUUUUAUCGGGCACCCGGCAAAGGCAUUCUUUGCCGGGUGCCGGACAGAGAGGCUCCCGGCAAAAAGAAACACCCGACAAAGUUCAGCCAUCGGCAAAAUUUAUUCUUUGCCGGGAGCCGCCACUCGGCAAAAUAUGACUGUCGGUAAAGUCGAUCGGCGUGAAGGCAGCCACCUGUCGUCAGCCUUUGCCGGGUGCCACACCGUUAGGCACCCGCCAAAGGUUUUCUAUUUUUUUUUUUUGAAAAAAGUCUUCCCAGCUUUGCCGAGUGCCAGGGCCAGGCCACUCGGCAAAGAUUUCUUUUAAAAAAAUUAGAAAACCCUUUACUGGGUGCUGGCCGCCGGCAAAGAAAUUCCAAAAAAAAUCUAAAUUCUUUGUCAGGUGCCUCUGUCAUGGCACCCGGCAAAGAAUCAGCAGACGGGAUCGCGCCGUGACGGUCACUUUUCUUUGCCGGGAGCCGGGCGCGGCUCCCGGCAAAGACUUUGCCGGGUGUUCGACAAAAAGCUCCCGGCAAAGACUCCUUGGCCGGGUCGUUUUUUGCCGGAGGCUCUUUGCCGGGUUCUACACCCGGCAAAGCACCUGAAUCCUGUAGUGUUCCCUCAAAUUGUCCUAUAGGGAUUGAGGAAACUGAAUUACAAGAUAUAGGGGAGGGCUGCUAGCUGCAGCAGAUUGAGGAAAAUUCAUCACCUUUAUUAUGUGUACCCACAUGUCAGUGGCGGACAGGGGAGGAAAAGGGGUUGCUUGCUCCCUCUAUUUGAUGAAUUGAGGGAUUGAUACAAAAAUAUAGGGAAGAGGAAUUGAGAAAGGGGGCUUGGUGGAGUAGUUUUUCACCUCAUUUCACUUUAUGACAAUUUUUUAGGAAAAGGAGAUUGCUUUUCUCCAUUUGGUGGAGUUGCUCUAAUGACCUUAUUUAAGAAACAAGGAUAAAGAGACCAAAUCAAAGAUUAAGGGUCACAAUGCGAGCAUCAUUUAGGGGAACAAAUUUUAAUGGACUUUUUAGAAAAAAAAGCUUCAUAUAUAUAUAUAUAUAUAUAUAUACUUUUUCCGUAAAACCCCCAUGCUACAACCAUGGUGGUUCAUAAAAUUCUUUUUUUUCAAUCACAUGCAAGUAACUAAGUAAGCAACACCUAAGUGACACAACCAUUAUAUAUGAUCUCCUUAUUAUAAUAAGAGGCUCAGAGGAAGAUGAGUGUUUUGAAAGCCUAUCAACAAUUUUUUUUUCAGACUCCAAAACCAACGAGAUUAAAGUUUGAAAUUUAAGAUUCAGAGUUUAGGGUUUCACCAACAUGAGCUAGCAUCUCCAAGAGUUUUUCUUAAACUCACUCUUUAAAUCCUCAGUUGGAGAGCCAUUUUUUGUAUAAAAAUCGUUUUCUAUAUCUUUCCACCUUCUAUCAGUUUCUCUAUAUCUUGUCUGCACUUUGGAUAGCCAUCCCCACUCUUCAUCUUUAACUAGGCCUUGUUUAGUUCCAAAAAAAAUUUAUAAAAAUUUUCAGAUUCCCCGUCACAUCGAAUUUCGCGGCACUUGCAUGAAACAUUAAAUAUAGAUAAAAGAAAUAACUAAUUACACAGUUUAUCUAUAAUUUGUAAGACAAAUUUUUUUAGCAUAGUUAGUUUAUAAUUGGACAAUAUUUAUCAAAUACAAAUAAAAUGCUACAGUAUCCAUUUUGCAAAAAGUUUUGGAACUAAACAAGGCCCUAGUAAGAAAACAGGAACAGAAUGAAGAUGGCAAUAUUUGAAGAUCUAAUUGAAAAGCCGUUGAAAUGCUUUUUUCACCAAAUUAAAAUCUCUAUUCUUAUCAAUAUGCAUGGAAGGAUAUAUGUAACACCCUAACAUUUGCUUGUUUUUAAAUAGUUGAAUUUGAUUUUAUAGUCAAUUUUGUGAGCAUCAAAAUAUAGGAAAAAUAAAUAAAUUUGGAGAAUUAAAAAAAUUAAUAUAAGUUUAGAAAAUUUUUGAUGCAUACAUGUUGGUGCUUUUUUAUGGUGAUGAUUGUUUUAAAAACAAAAUGUCUAUGUGCUUAAAAAUUCAAUUGGAAAAUGCAUGUAGAAAAUGUAUUUGAAAAAGAAAAUGAAUUUUUUUCCCUCCCCCUUCUCCUCUCGGCCUGCUCGGCCCAGUCCCCCACACCCCCCCCCCGCGCCCCCUCUCUCUUUCCUGGGCCGCGGUCCAGCCGGCCAUUUUCCCCCUUCCCCUCUCCUCACCCGCUGACAGGCCGGGCCCGCCUGUCAUCCCUCUCCUCCAUCCAAACCGCCUCCUCCCUCUCUCCCGAUUCUGCAGAACCGCUGCACCCCGCUCCCACUUCCCCCACGACUCCUUUCUCCCUCGCGUUUUGCUCAUUUGGAAGAGCGUCCGCGCCCGAGCCGCCCUCCCCCCUCCCCUCAUUUCACUUCCCUCGCAUCUGCUCCACUUGCGCAAGCACCGAAAACCACCGCCGUUGGCCGCGCGUCGCUCGGCGUUUCGAGCCGUCUUUGCCCCGCUUCUCGCCGUGGUGAGCAUCUCCUUCUCCCCCUCUUUCUCUCGGUGAUUCUUUCGCUCCGUUUCGUGGCCUCUAGGGCCUUGUUCGCGCGCACCGAGGGCGUCAACAAUGGUGUCGCCGUGGUCCGCACUGCGCGGGUCCUUCUCCGGCCGUGCUGAGCUCGGGAAUGAAUUCGUUUCGUUCUCCUCUUUCUCCCGGUACUCGCGGUUUCGAAUUUGGUGCACCGUAGCGCCCGAACGGCUUACUCCGGCGAGCUCCUCGCCGCCGGCAAUGGCUGCCGCCGCAACCUUCCCCAACUCCGGCCGCUAGUCCCCUCUCUCUCCCCUCCCAUCUAAUCUCGCCCGUUGAUCUUGAAUCUGACGGCCAGGAAAUGCCCAUACCCCUUCGGCCUGGAAAAUUUUCUAAAGAGACCCCCUAGUUUUCUAAUUUCUAUCCCGCAGUCCAAAGCGCAUAUGAGGGAAUACGCUUUCCAUUUUUGAAAACGUAAAGUCUGCCGAUUUAUUUCAAAAUACGUUUUCUAUAUUUACAAAAAUGCCACUGAGUAUGUUUUGGCCAUAAAAUAUUCGUUUUAGCUCCGAUUUGACCCGUUCAAAUUGCGUUAGAUUCGUUUUCGCGAGUUCAACAUGUUAGUAAUCUUGGUUCAUCAGUUUGAAACUUUUUAAUUUUGUGAUCCUAUUUAAUUAAUUACUUUUCUAAAGAAAAUCUUAGAAAAUUCAUAUCUUUUCCGUUUUAGCUCCGAUUCAAUCCAUUCAAGUUGCGUUAGUUUCAUAAUUUCGUAAGCUUCGCGUUAGUACCACUGUUGUUUAGGUUUACCACUGUUAGAUUUCCUAGUUAAUUACAAGUCCGUAGAUAGCCUUUGAAGUCUCGUUUAAUGUGUAGAUUUCGCGUCGUAACUCCGUUUUGCGUGAAUUUUGCGUUGACGUGAUCGUAGCAGCGUGUAGAUGAUUUUGGAAAGCUUUUAUUAAAUUUAUUUACUGCUGGUGUACUGUUCUAAUUGUAAUCUUGUUUGCUUCGUGUAUGUCUGUCUCCGAUUGCUUGUGUGUUGAUGAUUGGUGAUCGAGAUUAGACAGUGGGCAUUACUUCGGUGAUCAAGAUCAGAGCUCUGGAAGCAAGUAAGAUCAGCAGAACCAGUAGGAGCAAUUGGAUUCAAGGCAAGUAUAGCAUUUGGGUUUUAAUUCUAUGACUAUGAUCUUGUGACUAGAUUAAUAUAAAGCAACAAAUGAUAAUAAUGACUUUUUAGCAACUUGAGGAUUUAUUCGUAUGUGAUAACCGGGAUGAAAGUGCAACCAUGAGGGCUAUAAUGGCUCUGGCUUUAGUCAAGUAUGAGUAAUUUUUCUAGCUUGUUAGAGGUUACCCGUGUGGCGCAAAUGGGGGAUAGCAGACCGUGGAUUCCCUGCGAGUGGUAGAAUCACACGGACUGACUACCGAAACCAAGCGGCCCUAACUUGUUAGACGAACCUUUGAAAUACUUCAUAGUGAUCCCUGCCGACCUACCUUGGUAGUGGGUUACGAGACUGAUCACCUCAGGCGAAAGGGUAAAUCAUGACUCAUGGGUAAAGAUGUACAACCUCUGCAGAGUGUUAAAAACUGAUAUAGUAGCCGUGCUCACGGUCACGAGCGGCCUUGGGAACUCUUACAUUAAGGGUGAUGAAUCUUGUGUUAAGAAACUCAUUGAUUAUUGUUUAAUGCUCUAUAUUAUUUAUGUCACAUUGAUCAUGAGAUUGUGGGAUCUAUACAAUCUAGUUGUUAUACUUGUGGAGUUCGUCUUGAACUCACUCUUGCUAUCUCUCCCAUAUCUCAGGAGAAGUUUUGGGCUUGUGAUCAACCAGUCAGUUGGAUCCUGUAGAGUGAGGUUAACACCCGAAGUUUGGAGUUCACUUCCGUGUUUGCUGCCCAAGGUUGUUUCUAAUUUAUUAUCUACGCUAUAUAAUUUAUGCAUUGUCCUUUGAUAUUAUCCUUUAUUUGUAGCUAUAUGUGAGGCUUGUCUUCUAAAACUCACAUAUGGUGCAUAUCUGAUUUUGUUUUUAAAAUCGGAUGUUACAAUAUAAAGAGACACUAGUUGAAGGAAGGUCGCUGACUGCAAGCAGGUUGGCGGUGGUGGCGGGCAUAGAGCCGACAAUGCAAGGCUGCGUUGGUAUAUCACGUUGGUACGGUGGAAUAGGGUAGGCAGAGCAGAGCAGAGCAGAGCAGAGAGGGGCCGGCCGGGGUUCUAGACUUCUAGUGUCACUAAACAAGCCGCCAAUGACACGUACAGCGAGGAGGAGACGGCCGGUGUCAUGGCAUAUAAAUGAGUUAAUUUGCUAGCGGGGGUUGAGAAAAAAAAAUGAGCUAGUGUUUUUACCCCUGCAGCAGGUAAUUAAUAACUGUGUUUAUAUAUAUAGCCCCAGGUAAUAACAAGAGGUUAAACUUUCUUCAUUUGCAGGGUCGUCGUCCACACACAUCAUGUCAACGUUUUUAAUGAUAAGAUUUGAUUUUUUUAUACACGUGCCGACACGCUUCGUUCUCUUUGUAGGGACCCUUGCAUUGCAACAAGUUGAAUGGAAGGUAACUAAUUAAUUAAAAAGGCCAAGUGGCUUUUGUGAUAAGGGGGGUUGAAUAAUGAAUUAAAAAGAAUAGCAAUUGGAAUAGAAAUAAACUAAAAAGCUGGUGAUAAGGAAGCUAGGCUCGAUCUCCAGGUUGAGCACAAACAAACAAUAUGCAUGCUUGACCUUUUCUUGCUAUAUACAUAUACCACUAUAUAUCUACAUGCAUGCCCUACCUUUUGGCCCAAUCCUGAUUAACCUAGCAUUAUCUCAUCGUAAAAAAAAUUACAUCCACUAGCAGAGCAGCCAGUUAGUGGUCUAUUCACUACACAGCCUUGUUUAGUGCGCGUGAGUAGUGCAUGGAUGCCGGCUCUCUUUGUAUGUGUGUGUGUGUGUGUGUGGUAUAGCAGCGGUAUAUAGUAACAGGGACAGCAGGCCGGGAAACGGAUGCAUGGUGACCUCAUCACAUCACAUCCGUUAAAUAUUUGUUCCCCACUCACCAGCUCUUCUCGAAUUCUCGACCGUUCACCUUUACUUUUCUUGUUUUUCCUUAUUUCCAUAUGAACCAAAUUAAUUGGCAUUUUUUUUCUUUCAGAUGGCAACGGGUUCGAGAUGGAGAGAAAGCGAUGUUUUCUCUAGUCUAGUUGUUGAAUGCACGCAAGCAGGUAAUACCAUGUUCCUAUGAACCUUGUAGCGACUAAAAAUAUAUAUUUUUAAAUUAAUUAUGCUCAUAGACAUCAGAGGAUGUUUAAUUAGUAAGGCUCUUCCUGAGAAGCCUCUCCGAAGGAGCCGGGACCAUUUUAAAAGUGUGGUUUUUCCAAAACAGUUUCCACUUCUCUAUUUUUUUUAGAGAAAAAUGACUUCUCCAAAAAAAUAUUUAGAAGGGAUCCUUACAAGAGUUAAAGCCGGAGCGGAGAGAGGAUCCCUACUAAACAUAUUAUGACAAAAAAAUUAAUGGCAAAAAAGCGAGCACAUAUGUCACUACUGGAAACUGACUUUUUGCCUAGUGCCAGAGACUUUGCCGAGUGUCAAAUGUCGGACACUCGGCAAAGCCUUUCUUUACCGAGUGCAACGCUCGCUCGGCAAAGAAAAACACUCGGCAAAAAGGUCUUUGCCAAUAUUUUUUUUGCCGAGUGCAAUUAGGCCUUUGCCGAGUGCCUGGGGCAUUAGCCAAAGGCCCAGUCUCCAGUAGUGUGCUAGUCAGAGCUUGAAUACUAGAAUGAGCAGAUUACACAGCAACAAACUCUUCAAUUUAGGAUAAAUAUAUGUAUUUUUAAAGAAAGUACUAGUAUUAGUCGAAGUGUCAUGACGAAGAUUGUGUUAGGAACCAAUAUGCUUAACUAGUUAUUAAUUAAUUCACGUUAACUAACUUAUUUUGCCCCCAAAGAAAUGCGAAAGAAAUGACUUAUUCAGGAAUAAAUACGCGUUAGAUAAUAAAAGGUACAGCGUGAAAAAUACGGCCACUUACAUUUGUCUAUUCUUCAAAAUGCAAAUUCACACAACAGCUGAAUAAGUUCCAUCUUUCCCGCCGAUUAUCUGUACAUUUUGGAUUCUAUUAUUCUUGCCACUUUCUGUGGUACUGGAAAGUGAUAAAAAAAGGUUCAGCUCGAUUUUUUUUUGGGGGGGGGGGGGGGGAGGGGGCAGAAGAAAGGUCGGUAGAUUUCGAGGUUGACAAAUAAAGUUACAUUGAUAUCUCGAUAUUCAUAAACAUGUCACCUACAAUUAAAAGAAUAACGUUAUUAAAUUCUCAAAUAUAUAUUUAUGAAAAAUACAAACACUUGCGUCCAGUCAAUUUGGGUAAGCAGAUUUCACAAAGAAGCUAAACCAACUGACGCUCAGUUGGCCAAGAGAUGGUACUACGUACAUGCAUGACAAACGUGCUAGAGUUGCAGGGUGUUGAAAAUAAACUAAGACUAAACAAGAUUUUUUUAGAUAAUAAGACUAAACAAGAUAUUAAGUUACUCUAAAUAUGAUCACUAACUUAUUUUAAUGCUGCCUUUGUGCUUGAUGUAGAAAUUGAUGUAGAUGAAGUAGAUAUUAGUCUUCACUAGAUUGGGGCUUGACGCUCCUAAUUAGUGAAGAACGCGGUAGAUCUUGCAAUACUUGGACGGAUGUGGGUAGACGAUCUUCCUAAAUCUGGCGCCUAAUUGAUCGGUUACGUGGAUAAAGCCGUCAAGGAUGUCCCCUCUUAUUUAUAUAUAUGAUAUGAUGUGGGCUAGGGCUGAACCCUAGAAGAUCUAAGGAUUGCCACCGAUCAUAGUAAAUCUUAUUUAGUUGGAAAUGAAUGAUAGGUGGGUGGACUCAAAAACUUAACGCUUAAUUAAUCUCGAGGUUAGCUGAACUGAUCAUAUUCCAACAGGAGGGGGCUCUGGCUAUUCCAACUUGUGUACGGUACAUCAAAGCCGUUGUUUCUCUCUUCUGCAAAUGAAUUAGGAGCCAACAAGAGAAGCCACUAUUUUUAGAUCCUCUAGCUCCAGCUCCUCGACCAGUGUAGCAUCGAGCCAGAGUCAGAAGAAGUCUAGCCAAACAUGCCCUUAGAGGUAGGCCAUGUUUAGCAUGGCUUCACUUUUUAUUGAAGUCGUUUUUUCAGCUUCUUCACAAUCAACUCUUCCAGUGAAGCUAGAACUGUUUUAGACCAUAUUUGGCAAAACACCUCUCCACAUGUUAGAAAAAAUAUCUUCUAAACUUUAAAAUGACUAUUAUACCCAUCUCUUCCUCCUCUAUUUCCCCAUCUUCUUCUCUCCCCCGUGGCUUCUCUUUUCUCCGCACACCACACAUCGACUCGGCUACUUGUGAGCUCAAGAAGAUGGUUGCCGGUCAUGGUGACGGCCGGUCUAUCGUGUGCCUUGGUGUCCCAAGUCAUGACACCCGCAUGGCAGGGUCCACGAGUACAGAUUGGAGCCGGGUGAACAAAACAAUUGUUUUCAGCUCUACUCCACGUGAGAAUAGAUUUUAAGGGACUCUUCCGUGACCAUUGCGUUUUACUCUGUUCGGUACAAAAUAAUUCUAAAUAAUUCUUAAUGCCGGUGAAAAACCGUGCCACAGUGUUCAAGUUUCAGUAAAUUGUUUUCUUAAAUUUAGAAGAUGUGGAUAGAAUUAAAUGUUUAUUUAACUGAAUCAGUACCUAUAUAUCGACACGACGAUGCACUAUUACACAUGUACCAAUACAAGUUCAGGCAAAAUAAGGCCUCGUUUAGUUCACUCUAAAAACCAAAAACUUUUCAAGAUUUCCUGUCUCAACGAAUCUUGCGGUACAUACAUAGAGCAUUAAAUAUAGUCAAAAAUAAAAACUAAUUACACAGUUUACCUGUAAAUUACGUGAUAAAUCUUUUGAGCCUAAUUAGUUCAUGAUUGGACAAUAAUUGCUAAAUAAAAACGCAAAUGUUACAGUACCCGAAAUCAAAAAAAAAGGGAACUAAACAAGGCCUAAAUAAAUAAAUAUUUUUUAGGAAAAAAAGAAUUUGUUCUAAUAAUCUCCGCAUAUGUUAUAGAAUAUACUUUGUCAAUUAUUAUAUAUGAGAUCAAUCUCUUGCGGAUUAAAACAUGCUUUCAAAAAUUAAACGAGGAAAAGGAAAGAAACGGAAUUUACAAAACUGCUGUCAGCAGAACAUGGGUAAUUCUUAGUAGUAUAUAAAAGUUAUUACUUGGGCCUCCAUUCGAAACGUCAGUUUGGGCUGGGCCAUACGUCGCCAUCAUCCUCCGGGCACUCUCAUGCAUCCUCAUAGGAUGGCUGGGCCAUUCGGUCGAGGCAUGGCCUUUUUGUUUCAAACCUAUCCUGAAUUUUGGCUUAUCCUUGCCUGUGACGUGUAAACCUAUCCUGAAUUUUGGCCUAUCGUUGCAUGGUCAUCUUAGAAUUUGCAGCUCGAUGUUUACUCAAUGGUCGUGUCAUACGUCGCAAUUUGUCUUAAAAUCAAAUUCCACAACGUGUGCACACAGUUUUAGGACCUCUUAGAUCCCUUGGGUGUGUGUGCAUGCAUGCAGUGCACCCUGCUAGGGAUCGAUGUGUGGCCAAUGAGAUCUAUACACAUAUUUUCUAACCGUAUUUGAGACCAAAUUUAUUUAUAAGUGUUUAUAUGUGUCCAUAUCUAAGUCUAGAUAUUCAACAUCCGAUACUGUAUGCGUAUCUGAAUUCUCAAAUCACAUAUUUAUAAUGUCAAUAUCCAAUUAUAUCUUAUCUGGCAUGGUUGAUAUAUCUGUAUUGGAAUCCGAAUCCGGACAGAAAUAAAAAACAAAUAUAAUAUUAGUGAUAUCCGUCUGUAUUCGAUCCAUUUUUCAUCCCUACAUUCAUGCCUGCCUAUAUGAGGCUAAUAUAGGAUAUGUUUGGUUUUGAGCCGUGAGCCAUAAAUAAAAUAUCAUGAACUAUAUGAGCCGCGAAAAAAAUAAUUGUGAGUUAUGUGCAUUGAAAAGGUUAAAUUGUUUAGUUAAAACAACCGUGAAAACUAUCCACUCCCUUUAUCUCCCUUAAAAGAGCUAUAAAACAUCACUCUAUUUUCACCCAUUUGGAAAAAAAUUGAAAACCAAACAGCAAAAGCAAGGUCCAAGGUGUUGUAAAAAAUUUAAAACGCGAAAGCAACUGCUUCCACAAAAAGCGGCAGUUGUUCUGCCUUUUGCAGCAGAAACAUUUUUCGAGAAAAUGAACCAAAUAUAGCCACAACCUACCUCACCUAGAUAGCAGCAUCUUUCAUGUGAGAAUGUAAAUAUAUAUGCAUAUUUUUUCAUUAAUAUACAACAUAUUUUGGUGUGUGCAUUUCUACUACGGUUUUUAGCACGUAAGGAUGUUUAGGUAUUAAUGUAUUAUAGUGAAAUAGAGCACUCCCUUUUGUUCUUGCAAUUUCUGGAGCAGAGCAGUCAAGCAUCUAGAUAUCCCACUUGGCAUACAUACAUCCUCACGUCCUCGCUCUACUAUUUUUAUCAGUAGCCAAAAACCAAAGGCUCUGGAAUCCACAGUGCCAGGGUGGUGGACCUAUAUAUAGUCGUUUCCUAUGACCCCAUCACAAUCUCCUGCUACUUGAAACCAAUCCAUCCUAGCUUCCUUCUUGUCUCCCCUCCGUCAAGCAGUGUCACUCUCUAUCCCCAUGGGUAAUGUCGUCGUCAUUAAUUAUGCAAGCAUAGUUAGUUGUUGUGUUUCAAUUUUGGGAGUGGGUUGAUGGUGGUGAUAUGAUUUCUAUUGAUCUAAUGUGUUUCUUGGUUUGAUUGGUUUUUUGUUUAAAUUUGCUCCAUCUGGUGUGCAGCGAAGAUCAAGAUCGGGAUCAAUGGUGAGUUCUAUUCACAACCUCUUACAAAUUUGAUCGGUUUUGUUGGUCUAUUUGAGUUCUUAGUUUGCAUGGAUAUUUGGUUUGUGCAGGGUUUGGUAGGAUUGGUAGGCUUGUGGCGAGAGUGGCUCUGCAAAGCAGCGAUGUUGAGCUUGUCGCCGUCAACGACCCCUUCAUCAGCACUGAGUACAUGGUAUGUUUCGUCUCUCUAAUAUUUCACUUCUUCUAGUACUUAUGGGAGUGCAUGAAGUAUGAUUUGUUGAACCUACACGCUUGUUUGAUGGUAAUAUAUAUGUAUAGUUUAUAUGGUUUUGGUCUUGUUGGAUGGGGCCCAUGUUGGAUGGGAUGUAUAUAUGGGGUGUCAUGCACUAUAUUGAUCCAUGUUAAGGUUCAUCGAAAUUUUAUGAUCUGAUCGAAUUACAUCAGAUAUAUUCCAUUGUUGAAAUAUAUGUUUUGUGUAGAUCUUGAAUUCUCUAAAUCUUAUUAGUCCUACAUUUGGCAAGUUUGAUUAGCUUACCUACACCAAUUGAAUCUCAUCCUGUUCUUGCAGACAUACAUGUUCAAGUAUGACACUGUCCAUGGACAGUGGAAGCACCAUGAUGUCAAGGUGAAGGACUCGAAGACCCUUACUUUUGGUGAAAAUGAGGUUGUUGUGUUUGGUUGCAGGUUUGUUGCCAUUCCUUUUGAUAUUGUGUAUUUCAUACUGAAUUCAAUCGUGGGCUAAUCGGUCACGAACGACAUGUUUGCAGGAACCCUGAGGAGAUCCCGUGGGGUUCGGUUGGCGCUGAUUAUGUUGUUGAGUCUACUGGUGUUUUCACUGAACAGGACAAGGCUGCAGCUCACUUGAAGGUACAUUCUUCAUUAUUCCUAGUGUUUAGUUAUUCUAAGGUCUCCUUAUAUAUUAGUUCUUCCAAAGUGUUGAAAGGAUUUGGUUGUUUCUCUAUGUUCUUUUACAGGGUGGUGCUAAGAAGGUCAUCAUUUCUGCUCCUAGCAAGGAUGCACCCAUGUUCGUCGUCGGUGUUAACGAGAAGGAAUACAAGUCUGACAUUAACAUUGUCUCUAAUGCUAGCUGCACUACCAACUGCCUUGCUCCUCUUGCUAAGGUGCUUCUUGUUAUGAUGUUUUACCGCUGACAUAAACUGCUAUUUAGUUAGGAUUCUAUAUAUCACCUUACCCCGAUCAUUUGUAUUUGUUCUAUGUAGGUCAUCAAUGACAAGUUUGGCAUUGUGGAGGGUCUGAUGACCACCGUUCAUGCCAUCACUGGUAAGCUUAUUUUUUAAUAGAUUAAGAGGGAAAUUUGUGCAGUUAUAUAUUUCUUGUCUUUAAGUAAUGAGGCAUAUGUGGAUCUUACACAGCUACCCAAAAGACGGUUGAUGGGCCAUCAGCUAAGGACUGGAGAGGUGGAAGGGCUGCUAGCUUCAACAUCAUUCCCAGUAGCACCGGAGCUGCUAAGGUUAGGAAACUAAACUUGUUUCUUUUGCUUGUGUACUACACAAUAUGCUACAAUGUUAUUACCUUCAUGCUUUGCAUAAAAGAAAGUAUUGUAAUAAUGUAAAAUGGUGUAUAUAUAGUUAAUUUCAAAGUUUCUAAAAAAUAGAAACACAUCUUCCUACAUUUUUGUUAGAAUCACUUCUAUUUUGUGGAUUUAUUGAAUUUUAGUUUGUUACUACUUAAUUUCUUGUAGGCUGUUGGCAAAGUGCUUCCUGCCCUUAAUGGGAAGUUGACUGGAAUGGCUUUCCGUGUUCCUACCGUUGAUGUCUCUGUCGUUGAUCUGACUGUUAGGCUUGAGAAGUCAGCUACCUAUGAUGAGAUCAAGGCUGCGAUCAAGUGAGUUUUAGUUUAUGUAAUGGCCAGUGUUGGCCAACAUUCAAAUGCACAUUGAAUUGUUUUAGAUGGCCAUUCUGAUGUUCGUACAAACAUCUCCAUUAUUCUUCAUAGGGCCGAGGCAGAGGGUGCCCUCAAGGGCAUUUUGGGUUAUGUUGACGAGGACCUUGUUUCCACUGACUUCCUAGGUGACAACAGGUAUUGGUAUUAUACAUACUAUGAUCCAAUAACCUUUACCAUUUUGUGAUAAUCAUUCGUUAACUAUUAAUUAGGUCCCUCGCCCUACUUAUAUAUUUUUUUGGUAAUUGUCUCUCUCAAUCGCAGGUCUAGCAUCUUUGAUGCUAAGGCCGGCAUUGCUUUGAAUGGUAACUUCGUGAAGCUUGUGUCCUGGUAUGACAACGAGUGGGGAUACAGGUUAGUAGCCUGUACUGAGUGUGUUAUAUAUCUGGCAUUGGCUAGGGCUUUUGUCUGUGCACUUCAAUUUCGCUAAAUCCUAACUCGUUUUUUCUUUCAACUCUUUCCAGCACCCGUGUGAUCGACCUGAUCUGCCACAUGUACGGCACCAACUAGAUGAGCAAACUGAAAUCCAGGUUGAGUUGUGUUUCGUCAUCGGAGAAGUGUAGAGAGCCUCUUCUGAGAAUAAAUUUUGUAACGAAUUAUAGUGUGUGUAUAUGUAACCCAUUGGUUGGUUGAGUAUGUGGUGGCUCAUAUUUUGUCUGGUUUAUGUGCCAUCGUUAAACUUUUAACUGAUAGUUGCAUUCUCUCAUUUGUCUUUAUAUCCCGCUAUAGUUCCGCAUGCUUUCAGAAGUAGUAUUCAUUUCAUAUAUACAGUAGUAUUAGGCCCUGUUUGGUUCCCUUUGCUAAAUUUUAGUUAGCUAAAUUUUAAUCACUUUAGUAGCUAAAGCUCCAAACACAUUGACUAAAAGGAGCUAAAAUAGUUUAGUUCAUUAGUCACCCAAAAGUAGCUAAAAUAAUUUUAGCUAGCUAAAAUUUAGCAAGGGGAACCAAACAUACCCUUAUAAUCAUUAUUAUUACUUUGGCGGUUUCCUGUUGGGCCUCCAGGAUUUCGAAAGAUCAGUUUGGGCUGGGCCGCAGGUCCAUGCAUCCACGAAUCAUGGAUGAACCGUUCGGGGGGCCAUGUAUAUAUGGCAUCCCCUGCCAAUUUGCACACACCAACGGAUUUCUGAGAUGCAGAAUCUCUCAUAAAAAAAACCAUCAGAGUCCUAUUUUAAAUCAUCCUCUCCUGCCACUUUGCACACACCAAUGCAAAACUCUGAUUUCUGAGAUGUAUAAUUCAGCAAACUAACUAAGCUUUAGGCCUAACAAUAAUAAUAGCAUAUUGCUUGUGAUGGCAUAGUUGAUAGUUACACUAUUCUUGUUAUGCAACCCAUCCUGAAUAAUGAGGCCUAGAAGUCAUCAGAGUCCUAUUUCAAAUCAGAAGUUUUCACUGGCUGGAAGAUGGUUGGAAGUCAUCAGAGUCCAACUUGGCUCUAUACAAAUGCCCUUAGCUAGCUUCUGGAGACUUGAGGAAGUCAUGAGUGAGUCAGCAGUAUACCCAAUAACCCAACCUCUGAUUGUGCAGCAUGCAGCUAAGUCCUCCUGCUGCCUAAAAAACAGCACACACAAGAAAACAAAGAUCGACAAGAAGAAAUAAGAUCCUCUGUCUCACUGAUGAUCUUUCCACGUCUACCUGCCGCAGGUUGGUCGAUCUGGACUGGACAUCAUCAGCUGCAUGCUUUGAAACAGUCUCGCUAGCUGUUUAAUUAGCAACGCGUAGUAAUCAGCUUUGACAGGAAAUUAAAGGAGGCCUGCUGCCUGCCGGCUGCCGCAUGCAUGCUGCUGAAAGCGAGAUCACCUAUCAUUAUUCCAUGAUCGACUGAGAUUAGAAAGGUGCAUGCAUGAGCGGUUAAAACAGACAGCUCUACUAUUUUGACUUGCCAUUUUUUAUCACUCGGUAGACAGUGACUUUUUACUGAUGUGGACCGUCGUCAGUAGACUAUUGCUGGACUUAAACAAGAUAUCCAAGUUACUGAUGUGGACCGUCGUCACUCUAUAGUUCAUCACUGCUCUCUCCGUCCUCAAAUACAGCCCCUCACUAGUUAGUUCAGUUGUUAACUUGUUUAAUUUGCUAGUAAGGCAUAGUUUCCUGGGGAUUUUGUGUGUGUGUGCGCGCGCGCGCGCAACCAUGACAUUAAGAGAGACCCAAAUUCUAGGACAAUAAUUAGAAAUAGAACUUUUAGUUUUUUGUGGAAGGGAAAUAGUAUAGUACCUGAGAUGUGACUUGCUUGAGCACUGUGGGGCACGCGACAAAAUGAGUGGCAACAAGACCAAGUGAUGGAAGAGAUGUGUAUGGUGCAUGUGUACAAUUUCGAAUAAAUGUAUAUGGAAUUGAAUAAUAUAAUGUGUGUAUAUACAUACAUGCAGCUGAGGUCGUAUGAUGUACGUAUGUUGGUUAAACAUACGCCACAAAUCUUGUGGAUGGAUGUACAUGUCGACAGACGAUGAUAGAUGCACGCAUCCGUGCAUUUGCAGUCCACACCAUUUCCAUCUUUCUCAAAUCCCCCAGGGUACGGUGUGCAUGCAGUGGUCCUCUCUCUGCUCGCCGGCCGGCCGGAUUCAUACCUGCGUGCAUGCAUUCUGAGGCUAAUAUAACCUACCUAAACUGCUGGAAGCAUGUUUUGUCAUUAUAUUACUAUUAAUUAAGGGUCUCUUUGGCAAAGGGUUUGCUGCACUAAGAGUUCUUAUCCUUUUUUUUGGUAAAAUAAGAAAAAAUUAUUUCCAUUAAGUUGACAUCUUUCCUCCUCAUUUUUUCCAACCUCGUAAAAAUUUAUCGCGAGCGCGCGGCCUAAGAGCGCGCAUCCGGAGUUUCCCGGGCCAUCUAUUAAGCGGGAAGAAGGACAGGGUUCCAGGUUGUAGGAAAAAGUGUCUGAGUAAAAAACUUUUAGAAAAAAUAUAAAAAACUUUUGAAGAUGACUUCUUUUUUUUCUCAUACUAAUUUAAGAGUUGACAGACAUCAUAUUUUAGAGAACAAAAUAUGAAGAUUUCUUAGAGAUGCUCUAACACACAUAGUGGUGCUACAAUCCGCUGGUCCCAAGGAGCCAUCGCCGAAGAGAGCCUAAUCGAUUGGGCUCCUAAGCUAGCUUUUGGCUUGGUUGGGCUAGCUUUGUGCAGUUUGGUUCCCAGGCCAUCCCCGGAGCCAGGCUCCAACUGGUCAUCCGUACGUCCGGAGCCUGGUCAUCCGUACGCUCGGAGCCAAACCUAGAAAGAAACACGGGGUUGGUGUUUGUUUUGGAGCCAGGCUAAAUCCAGCCUCGAUGCUCCCUUCUCGUCACCACCCGCUUUUACUCUGUCCUUCUCUGUCGGUGGUUGGCUUCCCACUGGUGCUCCUCCUCCCCCCCCCCCCCGGUUGCUCCUCCGCGCUGAUCAUCCCUCACUAGACCUCCUCCCUACCAAUACUCCUUCACGCCGGCGCGAGGAAGCGGCAGAGACGGCAACACACCUCGUGCUGCCAGCAGACAUUCAAGACGACGCUAGCGCAGCUGAUGCGGGUGGACGACGGUUGGAGCCCGAGAGUGGCUCAACGUGAAAGGAAUCGACCUGCAGUGGCAGCUCGUCGGAGAUCGACCAGGCACACCCUUCGGUGCUCAAGAACAUAGGAGAGGGGUCCGCAGAUGCGUGUGCGCUGGAAGUUCUGUGGCACCACAUCUCGCCACCCAACGCCCCUGCCGUCGUGGCCCACGCCGUGGCUACUACGGCUCCGCCCACGCACAUCAUCUUCGUCUUCCGCUUCGAGCUCGCAGAUUGGCGCGAGAGCAGCAAGUUCAUGCUCAUGGUAGCGCUGCUGUUACUGCUGCCAUCGUGGAGAUGGAGCAGUCCGUGUGCUCCCCCUUAGAACUGGAGGCGCGAUUCAACCCAGCCUCUCUCUAUGCUACUGCUGUGUGCUCCGACGGAGGAUGCCCUGUUGCUGCCAUGGAAGAGAACCGAGCAGGAGGAGGUGCUUGUCGUGCUCACCUAGGUGCCCACCUAGGUGCCGGUUGUAUUAAUUGUCCCCUUUCCAUUAUUUUUUGGCAGUAGAUAUAUACACUUUAAUUAACUUACUCCGCUUUAUAUAUAAAAACGUAGAUAUUGCCCCUUUCCUCAACGAUCAUAUAUACUAUAUGUGCUAGAGCUGAUUGUAAAGAAUCCAACGACUUGCGACUAUAGAUAUAGUUUGUUAUUUUGUUUUGUCGAAAGUACAUAUAUAUACUAUAUACAUACCGUCCAAACUUUGGUGUUUGGAGUAUGUACUACUGUUAGUAUUACUGUAUAAAACAAAAAUCUCUUGAGCAAGACACACUUCAAUGAUUAGCAGCUGGACAAUCAUCAUGCAUCUGUGCUUAUAAUUAACCGAAUUAAUUAAUCAAUGACAAGUAGAGUACUAUACUACAUGCUGCUGCUACGGCUAUAUAUGGUUUAAUUAUAUAUGCAUGUCUAUACGUGAAGAAGUACGACGUGCGUGGCAGAAGGGCAUCGCUCUCAUGUGAAACGGGUCGCCGGCAGUGGUUGCUGGUUCUUCGCAUGUAGCCCGGCCCUCCCUUGUCGUUCAUCGUACGUACUCUCCAUAUCGUCGCAUUAUUAAAUUAUUAAAAUAGAUUUAUGUUAUUAUAAUUCAAAAGCAUUUGUUAACAAGAGACGAAAAGAUUAUAUAUAUAUAUGUUAAGUAGUAUCGUGGCGACCCGGCCGGUGUUUUUCCAACGGCGGCGACCGCGACACGCGGCCGCUCGGGGCUGUCGCGUUGCGCGCCGCACGUGUACGACGCGUGGACCAAUGGGACGCCGGGGAGAGGGCGCCACACAUAUGGAGGCCAUGUGCUGCAGGGGAAGCGCCGCAGCGAAUACGACAACUCCGUCGGGCGCCGCGAGGAGAGCCGGGCCCACCGACAAUUCCUCUUUUUCCUUUUUUUCUUUUCUUUUUUCUUUUCUUUUACCACUAGUCAACAUGCACGUACGAUAUGAACGUGUCUAUUUUUAAAAUAUAUUAAUUACAACUAUUAUUAUCUUAAUUGGCAUAAGAGAAGGGGUAGUGCUAGCUAGUGGAUGUGGUAGUAAUCGUUGUUGUCAUUAUUAUAUUGUAGUGCUAGUGUAACUAAUAGGCAUUAGCACUAGUCAUCAUCAUGGUCACCAAGAAUGUGAUACUUUUUAGUAGUAUUAUGAGUAAUGUGGAUAGAGUGGUUUCAAAAACAUUGGUGAUUUGUUGAUUGCUAGGAAAAGCUCAAGAAAGGGUGGUAAUACAGAGUAUUGUUCGAAAUAAAUAAAAGAUGGUUAUUAACAUCAUGCAAAUAAUUAGUUCAAGGUUGAACUUACAUUGGCUAGUAACAAGGUGAAGUGGGAAAGACAUGUUAAUACUGAAAAGGAACUUAUUGUUUGUAUUAAAAAGGAUGACCACAUGAUUAGUGGGAGUGUUGGUCGAACUAAUCACCGUGGCUCAUAAUCACCACGAUCAAUAGCAAAAUCACCAUCGCCAAAACAAUUAUCAUGAUAACCAUCACCGUCAAGAGUAUGGGCCUAUGCAUGAUGCAGGUCUAGUUCGAACUAUCAAUGUUGCAUCGACUAAUAGGCAUUAGUGGUAGUCAAUGUUACCGGUAGUCAUCAUCGUUGUCGUCGUCAUACUGUAGUUAACCAUGAACUAAAUGAUAUAUGUUGCUCCUCAAGAUGCAACUAGGGACGCAGAAUCUAUGUAUGUCUAGAGAUGGCAAUGGGUAUGUACCCAACGGGUAGUGGCCACCCGUACCCGCACCCGUGAAGUCUAAAUUUUACCCGUCGGGUUACCCGUACCCGCACACGGGUAGGAAAAUAAUUCCAUACACCCGCGAGUAAUUUCUACCCGACGGGUAACCCGCACCUGCUAGUAUACCCGAGAACUACAUAUAAAUAUCAUAUAUUUACACAAAUAAAAUCAUACUAAGCCUCCAACAAGUUACAAACUAAUAUUCAUACGACAACAUCAAAUUCAUAUACAUAUAUAUUAGGAGAGUUUAGUUGGAUUUAGACCAAAUUCAUGUGCUAUAUAGGCUAAAAUGACAAGGGUGACUAGUUAUUUUGACGAGUGUUUUUUACCCGCGGGUAGGCGGGUAUGGUUAGUACCCACACCCGUACCCGCCAUACCCGAUGGGUAUAGAAUUUUGCCCAAUAACAUACCCACGGGUAGAAAAUUCAUUCAUACCCGCCUCUUUAUCGGGUAAAACCCGUUGGGUACUCGGGUUUCGGGUACCCGUUGCCAUCUUGAUGUAUGUCAUCGAGGAAGAAGUCGGUGGCUCACUUGACGGUGAUCUUGGUGACUAGCUUCGCUUGAUCCACUUCAUGAAUUUUUCAAAGGAGAUGAAAAGGCACAACCAUCUUGAGGCCCCAGAUGGCGAAGGGCAAAGUGAUGGGAAUCGUUGUGAGCUCCUGAGCAGGCACAUGUGUUUGCUUAGUGUAGAACUUUGCAUAUGCGCACGAUCUGAUCCAUGUCUAGGACUGUAGUCGACCAAUAGAAAGCUUGUCAGAAGACUUUCUAGAGCAGCAAAUUUGGUGUUGCGUGAUGACAACGAACACUUGAGUCAAUGUCAUACAACAUCUGCUUCCCUAAUCUUAUGAAAUGCACCAUUAGAAGAUGCUAGAGAUUCUCUUCUUAUACAACUCUUCUCUGAUCAUGACAUAAGACUUAGCUCGCUUUGCGAGGCAUUUGGCCUAAAUUUCAUCUUGUGGUAGGGUGUCUCAAAUGAUGUAGUUGAGGUUGGGAUGGGUACCUAGGUCCAACUGGGGUUGAUAACCAUGACAACUUCUUCCUUAUGUUUCGUGUCACUACUUUUUCUUGCUUCUCCUUGUUCUCCUCCUUUUAGGAUAGGCUUGUGGCUAGAUGUAGGGUUUGUAGAGUUCAUCAAGAAAACACCAUUCUGGAUGGGAACCUGAUCAGAUCUAAUUUCUGCAAGUAUGUCCGGUGCAAAGAUAUCGCAUUGAAUAAUGUGAUGGAUUUCAGAUCAUCAAACUUGUCUUCAAGCUUAUAGAUUUCUUGACGGUAUGUUUCCAUCUUUGAGUCUUGACAUGAUCACUCCUUCAUGACUUGGUUGAUCACCAACUCAGAGUCCCCACAAACUAGGAGUUGAUGCACACGAGCGGAACGACUAUGUGAAGUCAUAGAGGAGAGCCUCGUACUCGGCGACAUUAUUAGUUACCUUGAAGUGUAUUUUUACCACAUACUUGAAGCUUUCCCCCUUUAGGAAGAAGAGAAUGAUUCCAAAGAAAGCAUCCACCAUCUCAACAUCAAAGUCAAGUGUUGGCGUGUUGCGGACAACGUUUGGGUUUAGCUAGAAUGUGUGACUUAAGAUGGUCAUGUGGAAUGUAGGGAAUAUUGUAGGCCAUGAGCUCGAAUACCCAUUUGGCGAUCCUCCUAUUGAUGUCCUUGUUUUUGAUGACCUCUCCUAGUGGAAAAGAUGUCACUAACAAGAUCGAGUGCCCCUCAAAAUAAUCUGUUAACUUCCUCUUGGUGAUAAAUAAAACAUAUGAGCCCCAUGGUAGUUGCUAUUUUGUUGAGAAGAGGAAGAGGCAUGACUGGUAGAUCAAAAGUUAGGUUGUUCUAUAUGUCCUUGCAAAGGAAACUUUUUUGUAUAUAAAAAACUUUGCUCUAUCUCUGUGUGUUUAAAUUAAACUGGACAAAAAAUGGCAAUAUCUUUAGUUUGAGUUGUUGAGCCUUUCAAGUUGUGACGAGAGGUAGUUAUGAAAAAAAAAGUUGUCACGAGAAUGUUGUAUUUUGUUGUAAAUGUUGGCUAAGCACAUGUGUAUAUAUAGCAUAUUUUUCCUAGCUGGGCAAAGUGUUCUAUGAUAUACCAGCUUAAGGUGUCUAUUCUUUCCGUUUCAAACUAUAAGUAGUUCUGUCUUUUUUAAUACAUAAUUCCUAUUAUACAUUCAGACAUAGUGUAUAUGUACUUGUGUAGCAAAAUCUAUGUAUCUAGAAAAACUAAAAUAAUUUGUAAUUUACACGGAGGGGUAGUACUAUACUUCUACCUAGGUACUAUAUAUCUCUAUCCUCAAGAGAAUGUAAUUUUAGUGCAUUCUAAGUUAAUCUCUUUAAAGUUUAAUCAAAUAUAUAGUAAAAAUAUUAAUAAUGACGUUUAUUUGAUAUGAUAAAUAUUAACAUUUUUAUUUAUAUUUAGUUAAACUCAUGAUACUUUAGUUCCGUAUUGUAGGCCUUGUUUAAUUCGUAAAAUUUUUGGGUUUGGCUACUGUAGCACUUUCGUUUGUAUUUAAUAAUUAUUAUCCAACUAUAGACUAACUAGACUCAAAAGAUUCGUCUCGCAAAUUACAGACGAACUUUGCAAUUAGUUAUUUUUUAUCUAUAUUUAAUGCUUUAUGCAUGUGUUCAAAGAUUCGAUAUGACGGGGAAUCUUAAAAAAUUUUUAUCUAAAUCCUUGUUUAGAUGACUUCAACAUUCCAAAAGUUUACAAGAUUCUCCAUCACAUACGUAUGCUUGAAGCAUUAAAUAUAAAUAAAAAAUAACUAAUUGUAUAGUUUAUCUAUAAUUUGCAAGAUAAUUUUUUUAAGUUUAGUUAGUCUAUAAUUAGACAAUAAUUAUCAAAUACAAAUAAAAAGUACUACAGUAUUAAAUCUAAAAAGUUUUUAGUCUAAACAAAUUAUUGGAGGGAGUACUAGUGUGAAAACACUGUAAUUGUAUAGUAGGCAGGCAGCAGGUAGCUGAAACUGAAACUUUGGAGGUGAGUGAAGGGGUAUUAAUGGGUGUGGGGUUUUGCGUCGAUCGGCCGGCCACUAUGCAUUCGUCGUUUUGACGGGUAAAGCCGUUGGGAGGUCGCCGGCCGAGAGCCGCAGGCAGCGUCGUCGUCGUCUCCACGUCUCGUCGUCGUUGGCGUAAAUAAAACCUAAAGCCAGCAGGUCCACACCCCCUGGUCGCCUUGUUUCCCGACGAACUCCGGUUUUCCUUCCAUUAUCGCUCUUGUGCCAUGCUUUCUCAAUUAGUAUAUGUUUGCUUUAGGGACUUGCAUAGUUUAUCCUUUUCUUUUUGUUAGAAGGGUUGGAAUAAGUGGAAUUGACUCCGUUUUCCCUACCUCACUAGACCCCACUUGUCAUCGUCUCCUGUCCGCUUUGCACCCCUUUGCGCCGUCCACCCUAACCAUCAUGCUCUUGUGGACUCGCACGGGGAGGAGCUAGCCGUUGGCAUUGCCACGAGCCCGCGUUGUUGGCACCUUGCUUGUCUCCCUUGUCUAUGAGUGCAGAUGAGCAAGGUGCCAUCCGCAUGAGAAGCCGAAGAUAUAGAGGUUGUUUAUUUCCACCCGAGCCCAUCACGUGCCCGGUGAUAAGUGAACUUGGCUCGGAUGUUGCAUUUUCGAUUUUCCAUUAUGCAGUUCAUUUUCCACGUAUCUUGUUGUGGGUUAUCGGCGGAAGCGGGUUCGACACAAGGCGUUCGGUGAGCUUUUCUCAUGAUUUCAGCUAAAACACGACGUGGCCGCACAAAAACAAAUAGGCCUAUAGCCUCCCAUUCAGUGGCAAAGACAGGGGGCUAGAGGGGCCAGCCCCAGCCCUAAUAGUGAUACAUCUUAACUUUGACAGUAGCCAACAUAUGAUGUACUCACAUAUAGCACAAGCCUAGAUGUACGUGUGAUCGUUAGCUUGUCUACAUAUGUACACACAUAUUUAUCUUUUUUUCCUGUUAGAUAGAAGCAUUGAAAUUAGUGAAAUGGAUCUUGUUUUUUAUACCUCAGAAUACCCCACUUGUCAUCAUCCCACGCCCGCUCCACACCCUCUCGUGCCACUUUCUCCAACCAUCGUGUCUGGCACCAUCGCGCUCUAGCGAAUGGGUCGUUGGCAUCGCCACAAACCCACAUUGUUGGCAUCUUGCCUGACUCCCCUAUCCGUGCGUGGAGAUAGAGGAACCGUCCGUGUGGAAAACCGAAGAUAUAGCCUAACGACAACACUUAUAGAGGACAAUCUCGCCCAGUGGCAAAGACAGGGGGCUAGAGCCCCCCCCCCCCCCUCCCCCUAACUUUGCUAUUUUUCUAUUAUAAUUUGAUGAUCUAGCUAAUCUACUGUAUAUAUGUAAUUAACCCUCCUAUUGAUAUUUACCCCUAUUUUCUUAAAUCUAAUUUCUGGCUUCGCCAUUGAUCCUUCUUAUUUAAUUUUAUUUUAGGGAAAAUAUAAAUUUCCAUUACGUACUCAGAUAAAGCUGAAUAGUCAAUAAUUACAUACUAGGAACGGGGACAACAUAUAUUCCGUUAGUCUUUUGGAAAUAUAAGGAUGGCAUGGCAUGUUCCGCUGGGUGAGUGAUGCAUCUUCGUCGCCCUGCAUCCAAACAUUGAUAGCAGCCUACAUACGACGUACUCAUCAUGUCGUCCUAUACACAUAGCACGAGCCUAGCUGUACGUGUGAUCGUUAUCUUGUCUGCAAACGUACACACACAUGUGAGUAUGUGACAUGUGCUGAUGUGCACAUAUAUGGCAACAUAAUACGUCCGUGUAGAAUAGAUCAUCAGCCACGUCGCCACCAAUUUAAUGAAGCUACAACGAGCUAGCCGAUCGAGGACCCCUGGUUUUGCAAUGAAAAUAAUGGAUCUAAUUAAGCUACCACACAUGAUCCAUAUAGUACAUUACACGAAGAUGAACAAUUCAACAUUGCAUAAGGCUGAGCGGCAUCUCCAUAUAUGCAUUCGUGUGUUUGGUUGCUUAUUAGCCUGCCGACUGCAGAGAGAAUCAGCUUGUUUGGAUGACUACAUCUCUAGCUCAGCCUGUCACGGAUGAUGCAAAAACUUAUAUUAGCCGAUCAACCCAUACUCAAGCAUGGACUCACAAAUAUAUAGCAUGGUUGUGAAAUUAUUUUUCUGCAGUAGCUUAAUUAUGUUGGUUUUUUAUGUAGGUUUGAGGGAUAUUUCAGUUUAUUUUUAUUAUGACAGAUAUGGAUAAUUUAGAUACAAUUCAAUGGGGUUUAUAGUCAUCUUUCACAAUGGCAGAUGUGGCUAAUUGAAAAUCAACUUUAGGGAUAUUUAAAAUUAUCUUUUAUAGUAGCAUAACAUCAUAAUUUUGAUGAGAGUUAUUUUAAAUUAUAUAUUUAUAUAUAUAUAUGAUAACUUUACAGGAUUAUUCUAAUUCAUGUUUUAUAAUGGUAGUAGUGUGGUUAAUUUAGAGGUUGAUUUAUGUAUUUUUCAUAAUGGUAGAGUUGGUUUUUUUAGAAAUUUAAAUAGAUACAAUGGUUAUUAUUGGUGAUGGUGAUUAGAGUCUACCAAAAAAGUAAGAUUUUAACAUUUUUUGUGAGAAUUUUUUAGCGCAUUUCAUAAGAAUUAAUGCGUGGAGACUUCAUUCGAUCAAGAUCUCUAAUUAAUAAUACAAAGAUAGACGGUGACACAUGCGGUACCCACUAUCACUGCACCACACCCUUUUUGGUCCUGCGUUUGACUUGCUUGAGCAUGAAAAUAAUUAUGCACAUACUAUAGUGUUACACAUCUACUCUCAACAUAUAGGUUUAGCUUUUGCACUGCUGUGUGGUUGAACCUCGAGAUCACACAAGAAACGAAAAAAAUAAAUAAAGAAUUGGAAGAUAACAUGGGACAAGAGCAAGAUGGGAACUAGCAAAGAUCCCAUAAGUAAACAUAUACUAUUAAGGGGGUCACACACUCACACUGCCUUUUUCUCCCCUGAUGCACACUCACACAGUGCCCUAAUGCAAAAGGGCAAAACAAGUAGGAGCUGCUGAGGGCCCAAGAGGCCACUACCUGCUGGCCAUGCUCCCAUAAUUGCAUUAUUUUGCCAUGGGGGUUAUUGGGACCCAGAGCUAGCAAACAAGUCCCAAUGUAUGCAAGAACCCUAGCUAGCUAGCUUAUGUUGCACUCAUGGAGUGAGAGAGAGAGGACAGAAGAUGCAAGAAAAAGAAAAAGAGCGAAUGCAGCAUAUGCAUGCUUGCAAGGUUGAAACUUGAAAAAAAAAAAAGGCACUCGUCGCUUUACCACCGUGCUGCAUUGCUGAAAGCCUAAAAAACCCCCAAAGAAAGCGACGGCGAUGGAUGGAUGGAUGGAUGGAUGGAUGGAUGGAUGGAUGGAUGGGGUGGGGAGAUCCAAGGUACAUGACCCCUCCAGAUUUGUGUCCCCCACGGCCAUUGUCGUCUUCUCCCUCUAGCUAGCUCUAGCCACACCCUCCUCACUCACACAGUCUCACUACUGGUGCUCUUUUCUCAUGCAGAUGCAGUCACAGCACAGGGAAAUUGAAUAUACUAGCUAGCUAGCCACGGACAUGCAUGCAUAUGUGCAUAUGGCUCUCCACUUCCCCUACCAACUAUAUUACCUGCUGUUUGCUUUUGUUAUUCUUGUGCAUUAACUUGCUACCGGACGAUUUAUAUAGCAUCACGUUAUAUAUAAGCUAGAAUAUAUAGCUACUCAGCCGUCCUAUGUGCGUUACUGCUAAGUGUACUCCCUGAUCUAUUUUCUUUGAAUAUAUAUCCAGCUGUUUCAAUAUUCAUACCACGAUCAAUAGUUAAUCAACAAUCAAGCUUUCUUUUCAAAUCACAGUAUAGACGUAGACGUCCAGAACCAAAUGCACACCAUAACCCCAAUUAAACUCCUAUAGUGUAUUUUUUUGUCGUAUAAAUAAAGAUAAUAAUAAUACUCCGCAUCGUCCCCCCAGGAAAAAUCAACUUCAGGAGUUGUACUAAGUCAGAAUUUUUUAUAUUUGAUCACAUUUAUAGAUUAAGAUAAGAUGAGUAUUUAUCACAUAAAAUUAGUAUAGACUUAGAUAGAAGAUGAAAUUUGUUUCAUACCAUACUUUUUUGGUGUCAUGGAUUUUAGUACUCUCUAUUGUAUAAAAUCGAUCAAACUUAAGAAAGUUUGACUUAUGAUAAAUCUAAAAUUUAAUUAUUUAAGGAUGGAGGAAGUAUCAUAAAAUUUGCAUUUGUAAGUAUAUUACCAUGGUUAUUUCCUAUUGUUAUGAUUUUGUUGAUCUAAAUCACUCAGUAUAAGAGAAACUAAGGCCCAAAUUUUCUUUUGAAGACCUAACCGAGUGAGACCGUGCCUUAUAAUUUGAAACGGACGAAAUUAAUGGUGCUUCUUUGCCAUUUCACUCACUCAUCAAUAGAUAAAGGUUGUAUGGAUUGAGAGUAUGUGGUUGAUAUACUCCCUUUGUAUAGGAUUUAGAAGUUGUUUUGGACAAGAUUUGAGUCAAACAUCGGAAAUAUAAAUCAUCAAUAACUUUUAAAUUGUUGAGUUUGCAAAUGUGAAAAUUAUAUGAAUAGAUUUGUCUUGAAAAAUACUUUCAUAAAAGUAUACAUAUAUCAUUUUGUCCUUAAUAUUUUUAUAAAAAUAAAAGGUCAAAGUUGUGUUUUGAAGACCGUGUCACUGUCCUAAACAACUUCUAAAUCCUAUACGGAAAGAGUAUGUGUAUUCAAAAUGCAAACAGGAGCGAAUCUAGCAUCGGGGUAGGGAUGAGGUGGGCUUGAGCCCCUGCUAUCGCUACUCGAAGCAUGGAACUCUUCCUAAGCUGCCCCUACAAAUUACUCCCUCCAUUCCAAAUUAUAAGUCAUUCCAAAAAUCCUGGAGAGUCAAAUUAUCUUAAGUUUGACCAAAUUUAUACGAUAAAAUAAUAAUUAUUAUUAUUAUGCCAACUAAAUAUUAUUAAACUCUUUCUUAAUUAUAUUUUUAUUAGUAUACUCACUUUAUGUUACAAAUCUUAGUAUUUCUCUCCAUAUUUUUGUCAAACUUGAAAAUUUUGACUCUCCAAAAUUCUUAGAAUGACUUAUAAUUUAAAAUGGAGGGAAUAGUAUUCAGGGAUGGAAGCUAAAAAAGGAGGGGCUAGAGAAGAAAGAUGAUGAAAAAAGAAGCCCCUCCUAACUUAUUUUCCUUGACCCACCACGGAGUGCAAAGGUCCAUGGCAUUUGAAAAGGGAGGUUUUUGAGUCUAUGCUUUCAUGCAUGGUGUUUGUAAGAACUACGUAGGGCUUGUUUGCUAGAACUAUUCGCUCCCCUGAGUCUUAAUUAGCUCUUUUAAUUCUCUGUUGGAGUGAUUCUAAUUAACUAAUUGAUUCUAGUCGUAGGAUGGGGUGGAAAACAGAUGAGAAUUUGAGUACGGAUCGAGUGAUUUUGGUAGAGUUUGAAGAUGGAGCAGUACGAUAUGAACGUGUAAUGGAGAAGUAAGGCCCUGUUUAGUUCCCAUCUAAAAUUUUUUCGUCCAUCCCAUCGAAUCUUUGGACACAUACAUGGAACAUUAAAUGUACAUAAAAAAAAAUAAACUAAUUACACAGUUUGAUUGAAAAACGUGAAACGAAUCUUUUAAGCCUAGUUACUCCAUGAUUAGCCUUAAGUGCUACAGUAACUCACAUGUGCUAAUGAUAGAUUAGUUAUGCUUAAUAGAUUUGUCUUGUAGUUUCCUGAUGAGCUAUGUAAUUUGUUUUUUUAUUAGUUUCUAAUAACCCCUCCCGACAUCUUUCCGACACAUCCGAUAUGACACCCCAAAAAUUUUUAUCUUCGAUCUAAACAGGGCUUAAAUCUUGUAUUGUCAACUUAUUAGAGGUUGAAAAAUGUACUAGUAGUGCUUUCUAGUAUAAAACUAGCUACAGAACAUUUGAGAUGGAAGGAGAAACAGUAGAUUGCAGGCAGAAGUUUCCAAAUAAAACCAAGAGAAAGCUAAGCUAGCUAGCAUUGCAAAGGUCGUCGGCGUCGGCGUAGCUAGCUAGACGCGCGCCGGCCGGAAGCGGAGAGCGGACCGGAGCAUUGCGCGUGGCUCCGCCGCGCUGGUGGCCGAGCUAGAAACAAAGGUUGUAGGUAGUCGUGCAUUAUAUAUAUUGUAUUGUAGACGACGGCCGGAGAGAGGUGGUUAUUGCAUACUCUAGUCUACUCCUAACUGCUGCUGAAGUGCACUGCAUGCAUGCAUGCGUUGGUGCUAGUUGCUGCAUGCCGGCCGGCGCGCAGCGCCAGCAAACAACAACAAGGCGAUCGAGAAGGUAGGGAAGAAAUGGUCGUUCUAGCUUGGAGGCGCGGCCGCGGCGGCGCAUAGAAUAGCAUAGGCCUUUGUUUGGUUUGUUUUUUUUUUUUACAAAAUAAACAUCGUAACACUUUCAUUUGUAUUUAAUAAAUAUUAUCUAAUUAUAAAUUAAUUAGGUUCAAAAGUUCUGUCUCGUAAAUUAUAGGUGGACUGUAUAAUUAAUUUUUAUUUUUUUUAUAUUUAAUGCUCUAUGUAUGUGUCUAAAGAUUUGAUGUGACGGAAAAUCUGAAAUUUAAUUUUUUGCAAAGUUUUUUGGAAACUAAACAAGGUCAUAGCACAUUUCUUUGGCCUUGUUUAGUUCACCCAAAAAUUAAAAAAAAUUCAAGAUUCCACGUCACAUCGAAUAUUGUGGCAAAUACAUAGAGCAUUAAACAUAGAUGAAAAUAAAAACUAAUUAUACAGUUUGUCUGUAAAUUGCGAGACGAAUCUUUUAAAUUUAAUUACUCUAUAAUUAAAUAAUAUUUAUUAAAUAAAAACAAAGAGGUACAGUAUCAAAAUCUAAAAAAAAUUUAAAUUUAAACAAGACCUUUAUUGCUAGGAGCUAGCUAGCACCCUUGGUUUCCAACUGCCAGCUUCUUCAUCCCUCCGGCUCCCGACCGCGUGCAAGUGCUGCAAUAGCCGGUAAACAAAAAAAAAAAAAGCAAGGUCCUGCUGCUGGCCCACCACAUGGCGCUCUUUCCCAUGCAAACUUUUGUCGCCUCCCCCUCCCCUCGACACUUUUUCUUUUCUUUCCGCACAUACGGAGUACUCCGUCUACCUACGUGGUUAUUUCCUAUUCUUUUUGUUAUAUUAAGGUCUUGUUUAGUUUCUAAAGAAUUUUAAAUUAUUUUCUCACCUUCAAUCUUUUGACAUAUAUAUAUAAUAUUAUAUAUAAAUAAAACAUAAAACUAAUUGUAUAGUUUAUUUGUAAAUUUAUAAGACGGAUUUGUUAGUAUAUAGUUAAAUAAUAAUUAUUAAAUACAAAUAAAAAUAUUACCGUAGCCAAAUUUAAAAAUCACCUAAACAAGGCCCCGAAUUUGACGAUCCAUUUCUCGCUUCUGCCAUCUUGGCUUUGGGCAAACGCAGCGUAGUAGCACACGUGUCCAUGCACCCACCAGACGGAAGCAUGCACACCGGCAACCAACCAGCGAAUAUUGGUUGGUCCAAGGUCAACUCCAUCGAUCUGCUUCACUUCACGCACGCUUUCAUUCAUCCGUCCGUGAACUCCUCUCUCUCUCUCUCUCUCUCUCUCCCUUUCUAGAAACACAUUGUUUUCCUCUUGUCUCUUGUCCUAUACUAGUACUAAUUGGUUUUUUUCCUUUAUUAUUUUUAAAAUUUCUGUACCUCAUGUUGUGCACCGAUUGGCUGGCUAAUUAUGCUCUUUCUUUCUUUUUCCUCUUCAAUGUCGACAAACAGUAACAUUGGAUCACAUCAUCGGAUCGGCUUAUUCAGUUCACUGGGCCUUGUUUAGUUCCUUCCAAAACUAAAUUUUUUUCAAGAUUAUUUGUCACGUCGAAUCGUUAAAUAUAUGCAUUAAGCAUUAAAUAUAGCAAAAAUAAAAACUAAUUACACAGUUUGCCUGUAAUUUGUAAGACGAAUCUUUUAAACCUAGUUAGUCUAUAAUUGGAUAAUAUUUAUCACAUACAAACAAAAGUACUACAAUACUUAUUUUUCAAAAAAAAUUUAGAACUAAACAAGGCCAGGUCGAUCGGCUACAAUAGGCGAUGUCAAAUCGGCCAUAUUCGUCUUUUUUCUUUUUUUCUCAUUUCAACAAAAAAACAUACUUCAUCCGUUCCAAAAUUAGUCUACUUCUAGAAUUUUUUUAAGAAGGUUAAUGCUACUUGAAACUUACCUAUUUACCCUAUCAAAAACUAUUUUAGCAUGUAAUAAUUGUAUUUUGGAAGUAGAGAAUAAUGUAAAAAAAAAGGGAGGCGUACUAAGACUAAAUGGACCGUACACCCUAAAAAAGGGAGGCCUACUAAGACUAAAUGGAUCUCCAAGGGUUUUGCAUUUGAAGUUUGCAUUUGAGGUUUGCAUUUGAGUAAUUUGCCAAAAAGCUCCAAAAGGGAUAUCCAACGGUUUUGCAUUUGGAGUUUGUAAUUUGGGCAACUUGGCAAAUGAGGGAGCAAACUUGACAAAAAUACCAAGUUGUAGACGGCUUUGCAAACCUGAUCGCGCGAGCAAAGUCAUGCGCAAGGAAAGCGCGCGCCUGGAGACCUCCUAUUUUUAUCCUUUGCCAAGUCCAAAUGUCGAUUCCCUUGGAGAUGACCUAUUUUUAUUCUUUGCAUUUUGUUAUAGGAGUUUGCAAACAACAACAAAUGCCAAAUUAAUUUGCCAAAGUCUUUGGAGAUGCUCUUUUAGGAUAAAUUUUGAAUUCUAAAAAUAUGUUUAAAUUAGGAUGGCGGUAGUACACACAUGGAUGCAUGUCCAGCCAAUGGCGAUGGUGAGUGUGAUGAGGACACGAGGCAACCCAAACCCCAUGAUUGUCCUCACCCUCCGUCUCCAGCUUUAUCAUUAUACUAUACAGCUACUACAGUGUUCUACUACCCUUAUAUAUAUUUUUUUUUAAAGAGUGUUUGGUUGAAAGUGUUAAAGUUUAAUAGAUAUUGUAACAUUUUUAUUUUAUUUAGUAAUUAGUAUUUAGUCAUGAACUAAUUAUGCUAUAAAGAUUCGUCUCGUAAAUUAUUUUCUGACAAUAUUUUUAGUUUUAUAAAUAAUCUAUAUUUAGUACUCUAUGUAGGUGUCCAAAUAUUUGAUUUGAUAUAUAGGUGUUAAAUAAACAGGAGCAACAGCGGAUUCUUCUGUCCUAUUUUUAAAUAAAUAUAAUAUAUUCGUGCAUGGACGACGUUAAGCGUACCUGGACAUGGACACAAACAAAAUAUAUAGUACCACGUACUACUUUGGCACCACUACUUUACCUUAAGAUACUAUAUAAUAUAUAUUCCAUGUUUAAUUAGUUUGGGUCUAUUAUUAAAUAUUUAUCGCUGGUUUCUUCUAUAGUUUUAUGUAACCGGCCGGGAAUGCACAGCGAUGUCCAUUGUCCUUUAUGCAUCUGUACAGCCAAUAGUUACCUUCAGAUAUGCCAACUGCUAACACAUAGUUAUAUUAUUAUAUAUAGUACAAACAUAUAUAUAAAUACAAAUAGAUAAAAAUCAUGUCGACACCGAUAGAUUUACUCUUCUACUUCCUUGACAGAUAAUUAAACCUCCAAUAAGAUAUUAAAAAAGUACAGGUACAUAUAAAGACUGAUAUACUGUAAUUUGCAAACUAUAUACUUUAACAUUUUAUUUUUCUCUAGAUUUUUAGUAUCAAGGAAUAAUUUAUAUGUAAGUCUACGCACUAGAAAAGGUAAAAUGUCUUAUUUAUUUAUGUAUUUAUACUAGCUUGAGAGAUUUUUGUGUAUAAACACAACAUGCCACUAGACGUACGAAAACAGAGAUUUUUCAAAUUCUCCAUCGCAUCGAAUCUUUAGACGUAUGCAUGGAGUAUUAAAUAUAGAUGAAAAUAAAAACUAAUUGUACAGUUUGGUCGGAAUUGACGAGACGAAUCUUUUGAGCCUAGUUAGUCCAUAAUUAGAUAAUAUUUGUCAAAUACAAACGAAAGUGCUAUUAUUCGUAUUUUGUAAAAAUUUUUGGAAGUAAAAGGCCAAACCGUGUGCUACUGUGCUCAACAACCGAGUCAUUUUUUUCUCCUGCCAGUACACAUGGCAGUCAAUGUUCACACCACUUUCCAUCGAAGGAUUUGCUGGGAGACAGCUGUAAAUUAAUAAGGACAAGUUCCAUUUCCUUUGCCUCCAGAAACAAGGAAAGAAAACAGGGCACAUAUGGAGUCAACCAGCGCGCGCUAAGCUAACCCAAUUAGCAUUUCAAAUACUAAAAAUUCAAUUCUCAGGAAGCCAACAGCUCAAGGCCACCAGAGAAUUACACCUGCCAACCACAGCCAGGCAUUUAAAUGGGAAGGAGCAUUGGAUGAGGAUGCAUGCAUGAUUUCAUUCCAGCAGGGAAACCCAAGUCAUUGCCUAAUGAUGAUGGGCGUGUAGUAAUUAACCCGGUCAAAUUAACAUUUGAAUCUACUGCUAGAUCAUUUUCAAAUUGUAAACUUUGGAGGUAAGAAUAAGAUGGCUGGCUGGCUGAUUGAUGAGUUCAUUAGCGGAGGGAAUAAUAAUUAAUUAUAUCGCUUGAACUUAUCAACUAGAGUUAACCGUAUUUUCCAGCCAUAAAACAAUGUUUUUUUCUUAUAACAAAUUAGUAUUAGCAUUAGCUCUUAUGAUUUUUCAGCUUGUGGCGUGUUGUUUAGAGAAGCAAAGUUUCUAAUGUCUAUGAAUUUUAUUCGAGCUGAUGUUGUUCAUGUGCCACGCUCUAGCAAUAGGUGUGCACAUGAGCUUACUCGAAUUGGGUUGAAUUGGGACCCGGAUCGGUCGCAUCCCAGAGUUUGUACAAGAACUAGUGUCUCAUGAUGUAAAUGAUUCUCUCCUGAUAUAAUAAAGUAUAAACUUUCAAAAAAAAGCAUUAGCAGCAACAUACGUCGUUUAUGUUUCUUGAGAAACAACUUUGACUAAAUAUAUAUUAAAAAAAUAUUGUGUUUAUGGUACAUAAUUGGUAUUAUUUGAAAGAUUUUUUAAUCUAUUUUUUAUUAAAUUUAUUUAAAGAAAUAAAUAUUAUAUAUAUUUUUUAUAAAUCAAGUUAAAUUUAUGGUAUGUACAUCAACGGCGAUAGUUAUUUAAGGAUAGAGAGAUUAGUUCUAAGUGUAUGGUCGAAGUUAGAUCAUGCAGCGUUUCAGGUGACUUUGCACUCCUGCCAAAAACUCUUCCUUUCGAGAUAAGAGUAUUCUAAAAGAAAUGGGACCCUGUGUAUUGGUUUGGCCUUGUUUAGUUGGCAAAAUUUAUAAACAUUGUCCAAUCACGGAGUAACUAGGCUCAAAAGAUUCAUCUCACAAAUUACAGGUAAACUGUGCAGUUAAUUUUUAUUUUCGUCUAUAUUUAAUGCUCCAUGCAUACGACCAAAGAUUCGAUAAGACAGAGAAUCUUGAAAAUUUUUGCGAACUAAACAAGCCUUACAGUAGGAAAAUUAUACCCCACCUGAGUACCUGACCAUAUUAAUGCAGAAAAGAAGAAAACAAGAAAACUUUGUCCAAGGUUAGGAGUAGUACUACGACACAAGAGACACAGAAGUGGUUGGCCCCACUCCACCUCCAGAGAGAAGAAGGCAAAGGAAAACUAAAUAAAUAAAUAAAUAAAUAAAAAUUAAAAAAAGGUUGAGCAUAUACUAGCUAGCAGAUGGCAAGAGAUGAUAGGUCGGCGGACAUCCCAUAUAAUUAACCCCUAAUUUCCUCCCCCUUCCAAAUUUACUUAUCAACCUCCCUUUUCAAACAAUACAUGUAUAUAUAUAUAUAUCUCCCUCUCGCUCUCGACUCUGCUUCCCCCCUCCCCCUCCUCCACCCGCACAGCCUGCAUACGGACGCCGCCAGCAGCAGCAGCAGCAGCAGCAGCAGCAGCAGCGAUCAAGCGUGCGCGCGCACGAUGGCCAUGGAACUUCCUCUCUUCCUCGGCGACGGCCCCGACGGCGCCCUCUUCUCCUCCCUCUGGUCCUCCUUCCCCGACGAUCUGCAGCAGCCCCCGCAAGAGGUACUCUUUCUUUCUUUUUUCACUUUCUUUUCCUGCCGCCGCCGCCGCCGCCGCAUUUCCCUGUUCUUCUUCAUGGCCGGUGGCCGGCGGCCGCCACGGGAUGGGUCGACGUCGGUGCGGCCAUGCCGCCGCAGGGGAUCUCACCUCCUUGCACUUGCACCGCCCCCGCAUCACAUUUACUAGUAGAUGGUACCGUGGUCAAGGGGGUUAGGCAGGCAGGCGGCGAAUUAGGAGGGCAGAGUGCUCCGGCUCCAUCCACGCACACACCUUGACGCUUGUUUACCGUGGUGGAAUUCUUCUCCUCUCCCUCCCUAAUCUCUCUCUCUCUGUCAUGGUCCAGCAUGUUCGGCUCGCCUCGUGGAAAAAAAAUCACACUUUGUUCGCAGACUUCUCUUCCCGUCUGCUUCGGGUUGGUUGGUUUGGUUCACACUUGUUUUUUCCUCUCUUUUUUCCCCAUCAACUGAAAGAAAAAAAAAAAGCGAAAGAAAAGGCUGGGCACUGUGGAGAGAUGCUGUUCAAUGAUGGUGUUGUUCUGCCUUGGGUCCCCUGCGUGUGACUCUGAUUUCAGACGCUUUUCUUUUUCUUUUUCCUCCUCCUUUUCGAUUCAAGCAUGCCUAUCUAGUAUGCCUAUUUGUUUUUUUUAUCCAAGAAAAAAGUUUUGUGUUUUUGAUUUCGGGGAAGAAGAGGUGAGUAUGGGGGUGGAUUUGUGCUCCCAAGUCUCCAACGGACUUGAGUAGUGUGGUGGUUGUAUGGUGCAAUCAUUUGCAGGAAUCCAAAUCAUUCGCUCUCCUAGAUCGUGCUGCCAUGUCUCUGUCCACCCAUCACCUUGUGUUCCGCGACGUCUCCUCCCUCCCUCUAUCAUGCAAUCUCCAAGCCAUGGAGAAGAUGGAUUUCAUACUUUCAUUUCACAACUAAAUUUGUUCCAAUUUCGAUUUUUCUAUGCUGCAAAUGCAAAGUGCUUGUGCAAGAACAAAAAAAAAACGAGAAAGAACUGACCUUGUUGAAUGGUGGUGGAGCAGAGCGUGGCGGAGCUGAAGCAGACGCUGCUGGCGACGACGCUGGAGCUUGAGGCGGCGAGGGAGGAGCUGAAGCGCAAGGAGCAGAGCAUCGCCAAGCUGGCCGACCUGGUCCGCGAGGUGGCCAAGGAGCGUGACGACGCGCGGGACCAGCUGCAGAGCCUCCGCCUUCUGGCCGCCCAGGCGGCGGCAGCGGCGGCGGCCGCGGCGCCGGCACCCGCGCCGCCGCUCGUCACGUCCAGCGUCACUGACUCCGACUGCAGCCUCGUCUCGUCCCCCGUCGACCCCUUCUUUGAUCCCGUCACCUCCGCCGACAGGCGCUGCAAGCUCAGCCCCGCCACGCCUCCCGCGCCGGCGACGGCGGCGGCGGCGGCCGCAUCCAAGCAGCAGUGCCAGCCUGGGGGUGGAGUCGGGUCGGCGGCCGAUGCCGUGCUCGACAUGCUCGCCAGCAAGAGGCCCCUGCCACACAAGGGACGCCUUCUGGCCGCCGUCAUGGAGGCGGGUCCCCUGCUGCAGAACCUGCUCGUCGCCGGGCAGCUCCCGCGGUGGCGCAACCCGCCCACAGUGCGCGCCCCGGACACACUCCCUCUCGGCGCCGCCCGCGCCGGGUACGUCGCGGCGCCCGUGGCCGCCGCCGGCGCUGACGCCGUCACGCUGGCCUCCAGCGCCUGCAUGAAGCGGCCGAUGUCCAUGCUCCCGCUGACGCCCAUGCUGCCCGCCGCUAGCUGCUCGCCGGGGUUCAUCGCCAAGCGACAGAGGCUGCAGCACUGACAGCAGCAUCUGGUCGACGGCCGACGGGUGGGUCCACACGCCAGUGACGGCGGGAUCCACCGUCUUCUAUUGAUGAUGAUGAGUGAAAAUGUUUCCACAAAGCCAUGGUGGUUCAGUUGCUAACUGCAUAGUAGUGUUAUUGAGUCAUAGAAGUAACUAAGUAUAGUCAGAUGCUGAAUUAUGAUAAUGUGAUCCAUGUGAAUAGCAGGGUUUUAUCACACUUGCUCGGUUUUUGUUUUUUCCUGUUCUUUUCCAUUUUUCAUUUUUGGGCAUGUCAGUGUCGUCUUAAGGCUGUUCAUAGCUUGACAUGGGAGCAUGAUUAGAGCCAACAUUUCUUGCUUUGAGGUGAGGGUAUUGGUUCAACUUGUUUCAUGCCCAUAGCCGAUGGCUUGGCUUGGAGUCAGCAAAUUUAUCUAUCAUAUAUCUAUAUAUCCUUCAGUGGAGAGCUUGUUCUUGAAAUGUCCUUGCAAAGCAGUAUAUGCUAUUACAUUGCCUCUUGGUGUCAAAUAAAGAUGGGGACGAUGCUCCAAAUGGAUACCCACGGUUCUUCUCUAGUGUAACUAAAUGAACUAAGACUAAGUUACACUAGAGAAGAACUGCAAGUAUCUAUUUGGAGGGUCAUCCCUUUAUUGUCAAAGUUUCGAGAUUUAUAUAUGAAAUACACUUGUCCAAUGUUUCAAACCAAUGGAACUGCACAAGACAGUGGAUAGAUAAAGCAUAUAAUCUAGAUGAAAACCCGACAGUAGCAGAGCUCUCUAACAGCAAAGUGUAGGUGUCAACCUUUGCCUUGUUCAUCAGCAUUUGUUUAGCAAAUACUCCAGUAUGUAUACAUAUACACUAGAGAAAUGCCAUGGCAGGCAGGUGCCAAAGUUUGGUUGAAGUGUUCCAUUGACAAAGAAAGAAUAUUCUAGUAAGCAGAAGAGACAAGUGUUUAUCCUUUGCUAAAGCUUGUCCUCGAGACACGAAGCUUGUUCUCGCCUCUUUAAAUUAUCUAUGUAUAAAUUGGGCAGAACAUGGGUGACGAACCGCGGCGCCGGAUUUAGGACGCGUUGAGCGGCUAAAUGCAUUGCAUAUCCCAACACACCUUUUCAACACCAAGAACUCCCUCCAAGGAACCCACAAUCCUUGACCAUUUCAAUUCUUUUUUAGAGAGCCUCCCCCUAACUGCUGUCUUAUAUUACUUAAUUAAUCUCGGUAGAUUAGCCUGCUAAAGCUAGGUCUCACAUGAGCAGAUGGAAGAAACGGUUCUUGUUUCCUACUCAUCAUAUGCAAACAAAUCCAAAUGCUAGUAAACAAAACUUCAGCAAGUACGUUUUGAGAUUUCCAAGCCAAAACUGACAGCAUGUUGUGGAACAGAAUACUGAUACCCUCAGACAGAGCACGUACAACUAUACAAAUACUACGAGGAAGGAAUGGAGAUACGGUAGCUCAAUUCACAAGGUACCUGGAGUUGCACAGCAAUUUUCGUCUUCCCUGAAACAAAUAAGCACCUUCCAUUUCAUUACAGAGGCAAACUUAACUCUUUGUUUGAGCACAUAGAUCAUGAGCUUUUUAUCAUAAAAAAAAAGCUGUAUGAACAUAAAGGGAAUCUACUUACAAGUUAUCAUGUCGCCACUAAAACUAAAUGAUGCUUUCUGCAUUAACCUUUUACGGAGUCUCCAAAGUAAUGAUCUGCAUGCCUGCACCUGCAGCAACUGAAGAACAAUCAUGCCAAGCCAACAUCAGGAAGAGCAUGCUGCUCCUGCUAGUACGGGCUGAUGAGUGGGAGUGCAAAUAAGCCUUUCUUGCAGUGAUUACAUGGUUUUCAUCAUCUCCAGCGCCAUUUGCAUGAGUGAUGCAAACAAUAUAGCAUUAGCAUGCUUGUUGGUAGUGCUUGAGGAGGCCAAGUAGGCUAUAAGCAAAUACUAGUAUACAGCUAGAUUAGUGAAGCUGAAGCACUCCCUGGAUAUGAGUAAUCCUAUCUGUUCCGUGGAGUUGGCAAACGGCUAACCAGCCAAGCUUUGGGAGUUUUGAGAUAAUUUGCCACCAAACAAGAGAGCUUUGAUCAAAAUCAGCUCAGAAUAGGCUGGUUUUCAGCUUUUCAGGCCAACGGCCACUUGAUUCUUUGUCUGAAUAAACACGGUGAUAUUUGUCAAAAGAAUAAGAGGAAUGAUCAACAAGUGCAAGUGUAUAUUUACACCAACGUAAGUAUAUAAAACACUCGAGAAACCACUGGUAACUGAUUUCACAGGAUAAAUAGUGCAUCCUAAGUACAAAUGCUGGCUGCAUUCCAUAGAAGAUGCUCUAACUGGCUGCAUCCUAAAAGUCUGAAUAUGAUUUUUUUCUUUUUUUUUUGAAAUCUAUGAUGAUUAUUUUUGGAGAAGGAAUAUUCUUUGUAAGCAGAGGGCUUGCUGCCUCCUUUGUGGUAAAGUAAAGGAUGCAGCGGUACAAGCCUAACAGAUCCUGUUUCAACUGUGGUCAGAUAUGAUGAUACUAAUGAAAUUGUGUUUGUAUAUAUACAGCGUCGACGCCCAGACAGUGUACCCACUGAUGCAGAAUGAGGGAAUACUGCUGAUCUGUUCGAGUCAGCAGUCCAGUAUGCACACAUGCUGCUUCGACAAGGCACAGAACACUAGCUCAUCUGCAUAUGGAAUGCCUCAGUGUAGUAUUUUGUUUUUAUCAAUCAUCAUGUGUGGUGAAUGUGAAUAAAAAGGAUUCAAAAGUACUGAAGAAAUCAGGAACUACAGGUACAGGACUGUUGAUGCAUAGCUGAAGAAUUUCAGGUUUGCAGUCUUCAGCAGGUUGCAUAUUAUAGUACCAAUUACCAACAUGUUACGGGCACUUACAAUCUCACAAUGCGAGGCACAAGGAGAAAUUCAGUUCAACAGCACAGCACAGCACAGCAAAUACACGCAAGCAAGAAUGGAUUCGCAUAACCUCACCUCACCGCGCCGGCGGCCGGAUCCGCUAUCUCCUCUGCUCUGCUCCGGUCCACAGCCUCCCGCGUUCGCGGGGCGCGGGCCUCGUCCUCGUCCUCGCCGUCGUCGGGUCGCGCGUCCAGCCCCGCCCGCUCGGUGAGUUCGCCGCCCCGCCGCCUUAGUGUUCGUCGGGAGGAAACCGCCGCUGUCAGGACGGGGCGCGGGCCCUACCUGUCAGCGAGGCGGGGAGCCCCCGACCUCUCGCUCGGCUCGGCCUUCAAAUACUCGCGCCUUCCCGGUGCGGACCAACUGCCAGAGGAUCGAUCCCUGUCUCUGACGUGGCGUCACGGUGACUUACUGACUGACAUGUGGGCCCCCAGGAGACGGGCCGGUGGGCCCUAACGAACUCGCUCCCUCCCCUGCUCCGCGCAGCGAGGAACAGGAGGAACCCACGACACGAGCCCGACGACUUCGCGCCACCCCCAGCUCCGGCUCCGUGUCGAUCGCCGCUCGCCACCGCCGGGAGGAAGAAGGAAGAAAGGGAAGAAAAAGGAGUCGGCCGGCCGGCCGGUCGGUCGCCCUCCCGCGAUCGGUGCGGGCGCUCGACGCGACGCGACGCGACACGAUCGAUCUCCGCCAUGGACGUGUUCAACGGGGUGCGGUUCGUGCGGCUGCGGUGCUGCGCGCGGCGGGGCAAGUACCUGGCGGCGGACGCCGACGGGUCGAGCGUGUGCCUGACGGGGCAGCGCGGCGUGCACAACGCGGUGUGGGCGGUGCACCACGCGGCGGGGCCCGACGGCGGGCCAUGCGUGCUCCUCCGCGGCGCCUACGGCCGGUACCUGCUGGCCACCAGCGUGCAGGCCGGCACGGGUCCUUCCAACGGCGUGGUCACCGCGCAGGACGGGCUCGGCGGCGCGCCUCCGCCGCCGGGAAUGCUGUGGCAGGCCAUCCCGCGACGGACCACCUUCGUCAUCCGUAGCGGCACGGGACGGUACCUCCGCGCCAAUGGCCGGUACCUCCGGUGGCGUAGGGCCGUCACCUCCGCCGGCGAUAAUGGCAGCACCAUGAUGCAGUGGGACAUCGAGAACGUGCCUAUCAGGAUGACUCGCCCCUGCAUUCUUGAUCCCACCUACCAGGUACGUAUCAAUGGCUUCCUGUCCUUGUCGAACGGAGGAUGAUGGUCGUCGUCGUGUCUGCGAUGAGCAGCUGACGCAUGCGCGGCGGCGGCCGCUGACGGAGAGCGAGGUGGCGCGGCAGAUCCGGUACGUGCGCGGCGAGACGGACGGGAGCGUGAACGAGGGGGCGUGGAGGACGAUGCAGCUCAACACGCACAACCUGAUGCAGCUGCGCCUCACGCUGGCGUGCCGCCUCGGCGCAAGCAGGGACGUCACCCGCACCACCCUCUGCGUCCGCGCCGGCCGCCACGCACACCUCAGCCCACUGCUCGUCGACCUGCCCAUCGGCAACGACCGCAUCGACAUUGUCAUCAUCAACCACGGCACACCAGGUGGGUGAGGUUCAGUUUCAGCUCACGAUUCUCGGAUCACAUCAGGCAAUUACAUGGCAAAAGAUUGUGAUAAGUUGUAGUCCUGCAUUUUUGUGCAAAUAGAGUUUCAUAAGCUGCAAAUGUCAUUAAGAAAUGCUUUCAGCUCUCUGUUAAGUUGGUGUUGUUGACAGAGGUAGUGCAAAUGAUUCAUAAUCUGCAUCUGUCGUUGUCCUUGAUAGAGAUUGUGCAAAUGUUUUCAGUCUUUCAGAAGCUGCACCAAAUGCUGAUGUUCUCCACUGUUUCUCAAUGGUUUCAGCGGACAACGAUUUGCGGUACCCAGAUUUGCAUGCUCCAAGAAUUUUAGAUAACUGCAAGGUCUCUGACAAAUGAACAGCGGACAACGAUCUGAACACAUCUUUUGAAAUACAGAGGUGACAUCCUGGGGACUCUUUUUUCAGUUCUCUUGGAGCGCUUGAAUAAGACCAGAAGAGUAGCUCAGUUCUCUUACGUAACUUUCAAUAGAUGUUCUGACAUCAGCUCUACUCAUGGGAGGCCAAUUUGUUUGAAAACCAGGAUGGUAAUAGUUUUGCUAUGGUUUUGACAACGAUCUGGACAUCUUACAGAAACUAGUUACUGAACAUAUUCAUAGAACAGGCAGUGCAUGGCUUUGACAGAGAAUGUUGGCUGGAAAUCUUACUCACAAUGUGAUUCUUCUGCUGAUGAUAUGUUAGCCCAUAUCAACUAGUGAUGUGUAAAAGGUACAAUUCUACAGAGGUAUGACAGAUAACCUUGGUGAAAAUAGUGGAACAGCAACUGCCAACUGAAGGUUUUCAGUACUUUCGAUAAACAGCUUUAUUCUAGUGUUUUCAGUAAACUCAGUGCUUUUUUUUUUCCUAUGUAUAGUUGUAUACCCUACUGGUACAAAUUAACAUGAUUCUUUUAGGUAAGAUCUGCACUGGCUUCUAUGAGAUCCUGUAUAUUUAUUACUAUGAUUCUGGAUAUGAUCUGUUAUUUGCAUUGCAUUGGAAAGUAUUCUUUUGAAAGAGAAGUUUGGGAGUCUUUUCUUGUAGGCAAUUUGAUUUUUAUUUUGAUUUAGCAGAAAAAUAAACAUAGGAUUGCAUUCAACAAAAAGGGUUACUGAAUUUUCUUUUCCUUUGAAGGAAAGCAUAUAAUGCAUGCUGAUUCUUUUUUGCGGGUAAAUACCAUGACUAAGUAAAGAUCAUAGCUUCUAAGAUGCUCACAAUAACAGAUCAAACUGGAAGGCGGUAGUACUGAAUCGAAACAAGCUUACAUGCAUACGAGCAUGAUCAUGACCAAUCUGAAACUGACAGACGCAGCUCGGACUGAAAGUCUUCAAACAUGAUACAUCGAUAAAACGAUAACAAGCAGACAUGGCAGUUUAGGACUUAAACAGCAGCAGCACCAAACAAGCUUCGACAAGGGUUCCUCUCCCAGCAAAACGACAAGCAUCAGCAGCUGAGUUUCGAUCACUUCUUCCUAGCCAGGAAGACAUCCGAGAGCACGGUGUCCGAACGCAGCACGGCCUUGAGAAGAGCCAGCCCCUGACGGCCAAUUCCAAAGAAACAAACGUGAGAGUUAAUUGACAGACACACUGACACAGACGCCAAUCCAAUCCAAUUCCAAGAACGAACCUCGUCGGUGCCGACGGUGACGAACUUCUCGGCGAGCUCGACGUCCUUGCCGGCGGUGAACUUGUUGAUGAGGGUGAUGCUGGAGAUGGCCGACAUGGGGGUGACCUCGAGCCCGUCGGUUACCAUAUAGGUGACAACCCCCUUGACGUACCCUCCUGCGCCCUCGUCGCCACCCGGCGCCGAGGAAGAAGAAGCCGCCGCCGCCGCCGCAGCGGCGGCGUACGGCAGGACGAAGGAAACCUCGGUGGCCAUGAGCAGCUUGCACUGCGGGCACGUAACGUUGGCCUCGGCGGCGGCGGUGGCGCAGUAGCCCGCGCAGGUGUAGAGGCGGAACCUCCCGAUCGGGGACUCGUCGUCGCCGCCGCGGCCGCGGAGGAGGAGGAGCUCGCGGGCGUCCGGGUGCAGCACCUUGGGCUGCAGCAGGUCGGAGCGGUCCGUGCCCGGCUGCAGGUAGGAGGAGCCCAUGCGGUCGACGCUCUCGUACAGCCGGCCCACGCUGCCGUCCAUGGUGCCCGCGGAGACGAGCUUCGCCACGGCGCCGAUGGGGAGGGUGAGGAGGCUGAAGACGAAGUCCACGAACUCCUUGCCUGCCUCCGCGAACAGCACCUUCUUCGCCUUGUUGUCGAUCAGGAGCUUCAGGGAGAUCUUGGAGGACGCCAUGGAUGGAUGGGUCGAUCGAUCGGGGUGUUGGUGUUGAUGGUGGCGUGGGGCGAGGACGAGAUGGUGGUGGCGUACGUCGAGUGCGUGCGUUUGCGCCUUUAUAGCCGCGGAAACUGAUGAAGAUGAUGAAUCGUUUGAGCUGGUGGGAUCGAGAUCGAAUUUGCAGGAGUACGUCUCCCUGGCUUCUGAUGGUGGAGAAAUCAAGACGCCGUGACAGUAAUUAAGGUGAACUUUCCAUCUUCUCAACACUGCUGAAAGUUCGAAUUGAAGGAAGAGUUACCGCCACCAUCUUCAACACGUUCAAAAGGAGCAGGGGUAUUGUGCUGAGCAUGACGGAGGGGGGAAAAAAAGACGUAACGCUGGCACAACGCAUGGUAGAAUAACUAUUUUUUUGAUGAAAAUAAACGCUAAGUGCACUCACAAUGCAACACUCUAUCACAGAGUCCAAGACAAUUAAUUACAUAUUAUUUAUAGCAUUUUGCUGAUGUGGCAGCAUAUUUAUUGAAGAAAGAGGUAGAAAAAAUAAGACUCCAAGUCUUAUUUAGACUCUAAGUCCACAUUGUUCGAGGUAAUAAAUAACUUUAGACUCUACGAUAGAAUCUGCAUUGUGAGUGCCCUAAUGAAGCCAUUGAGGCAUGGUCACAAAAGAGAGAAGCUAAGUUAAAAUAGAAAGAUAGGCCCGCUCUAAACUUGGGAGGUAACUUGGUCCUAAGGACAACCUCAGUGACAAGUUCAAAAUAUGACACUAGCUAGGAAUGAAACAGAGACUCUUAGUGCACAGUUUCAUCUCACGGAUUUAUAGAGUAGCUUUAGCAUUUAAUUCGUAAAACUAUUCUAUGAUCAAAUGUGGUAAGCAAAAUAUAUGACCGUUUUCUCACUUUAUGUUGAUGCAUAAAGGUUUUGAAUGGCGGGUUGCUCCAUUUUCUCUAUAUAUUUUUAUAAUUUCGUUUAAUUUUAAAAAGGAAAAAAGUGGUGGAAGGUGAGGAUACACAGGCAACUAGGUUCGAGUGACUAAAACGAUAACCGUUCUCCGACACCCGUGACAAAAAUGUUUGUUGGCACUUUUUAGUGUCGCUACUCCAUACUAGGAAUAGAGUUUUAGUUCUACCCCCGACAAUAGCGCCAGAAAUGCUGGUUGGUGCUUUUUAGCGAAAGCAGAUAAAUUCGCAAGUGCACAGAAAUACUGUUGUAGCACUUCACCCAAAAUAUUCACGGUAUCAUUCUUCCCAAAGGAAGUUUUGUAAGUAGCCACUUUCACUAGUUUACCCAGAGAUUUGGUUGGAGGAUAACUUGGGUAGUGAGGUUCUUCUAUGGGUAGAAACCUUAAGCUAAGACAACCAUGCUACUACCGACUUACUUUGGGCACCGGAGUACUCCUACAUCCACAGGUGAUACCGCCGAUUAGCUCUACGUCGUACCCAAACAUGGGGGAUUGCAAAGGAUGGAUAGAGUUGUCACCACCUGUCGCCUACCCCUCAACCAUGGAGUAUGAGGCAAACGAAGGUAAACCUCUAGCUUAGACAGCAUGUCUACGCUAUUGAUUAUGGUUCUUGCGUUGACCAGGAGAUUCUAUCUUUAUGAGGAGUCCUCUACUAGAACCUCCGCCAUGAGGACGAAUGACAAACCCACAAGCAAGUAGCAACAAGAACAACUCAACUUAAUGAAUCACACCAAAGAAGAGCAUGAACUUCUUACCCCAAAUGAUAAGAUGAUCGUAGAGAUACAAGUUGGAGGUAGCCGACAGGUUUGGCACUCCGUUCACCUGAUGGACUUGGCACGCUGGCUACUCGACACCAGGCACUCGACUCGCUAGGUACAAGAGGUAUAGGGACCGAACUCCCCUCUUCUCCUCCCCUACUCUUCCCUCUCUCACUCCCUACUUCUACUUUACCCUAGGGAUAGUGGAGUGGUUCCUCUCUUCUCUUAUAUUGUGGAAUGGAAUGUGGUUUGUGUGUCCUUAAGGAGGGGGUGAGGCCCUCUACAUAUAAGUGCGAAGAAGGAGGUUUUUGAUAGGGAAAGAGAGAAGGCGAGAGAGGAGAGGUACGCAGCUUCAAUUGAGGUAGAGAAGGCUUCGCUUGAGCUUGAGAAGAAGAUCCCUAGUCAUUCUGAAUCUAAAGAAAAGAAACAAAAGUUCAACAACUCGUAUAAAAAUUAAACAAAUACUAUGAACCUAUCUGAAGUGAAAGAACAACAACCUCUAACGGAAUAAAUCUGGACCAUAAGUCGGAUUAUCCGCCAAAUAAUAUUGAAACAUCAUCUGGUGGCCACCUUCUCUAUCACGAUAAAUAAAUACAUGGCCACACACCGAACCACUAGGUCGUCGUUUUUUAUUCGAAAAUGUGUGCACUAUUCGAGCAGCUGUGAAGAUGAAGUAAUCAUCGUUGUCCAAAAAAGCGUCAUCCAAUUAUCUUCGGACACGUGAUCUGAAUGCCCUUAUCUGCUGCAAACAUCCAACAAAAUAAACAGGAUUUGGCGCAAGCUAUUCAUCUACGAAUCACAAACCUUGGAGAUCUGCAGUGCAUGUCGGGUUGAUGGAGUCUUCGGUGCCUGGAAUCCAUCUCGGCCGCUUCCUGGGCAGCAGGGUCCGGGAUGGGGAGCACGAAGUCGGCGUGCGAAGAAAGGCGAGCGAGAGAAGGCAGUGCGUGACGGGUCGAUAAAUUUUUAUUUUUGCCAAGUCAAUUUUGCGGGUCGAUAAAUUUUUAUUUUUGCCAAGUCAACUUUGCCAAACACUAGAGAUGAUUUUUUUUCUCUUUUUUAUUUUAGGAGUUGGCAAACAACAAUAUUUGGUAAAGAAAAUUUGUAAAACCGCUGGAGUUACUUGCACCACGCACGAAGAGGGCAAAGGGGCUGUUCUUCUGCAUGUAAAGACUUUGUUGCAUCGCAUCCAGUAUGCAAAGAGACGACUGCAGUCUUAACAACAAUGCAAACGAUUCAGUUUUGCGAAACUGAAGCAAAUUAAGCUGGAAACCUCUCCAUCUCCCUGACCAUGUUCGUCCAUAUUCUCCUAUAUAAACAACACCAGCAUCGUCCUCCGACGGGCGACAGCCGAUCCAUCCAUCCAUCCAUACAUCACCAAUUCACCAUGGCUCCCAGCAAGAUCUCGCUAAAGCUGCUGGUUGAGACCAAAUCGAAGCGUGUCCUGUUCGCCGAGGCCGGCAACGACUUCGUGGACUUCGUCUUCAGCCUCCUCACCCUCCCCAUCGGCGCGGUGGCGAAGCUCGUCAGCGCCGGCACCAUGCACGGCAGCGUGGGCCGGCUGUACAAGAGCGUGGACCACAUGGGCUCCUCGUACCUACUCCCGGGCGCCGACAAGGCGGAGCUGCUCCAGCCCGGGGUGCUGCACCCGGACGCGCGCCACCAGCUGCUGCUCCUGCCAUCGCCUCCUCGCGCAAACGCCGCCGCCGCCGCCGCCGCCAACGGCGACGGCGACGGCGGCGCCGAGGCAGAGGAGGAGGAACGGCAGCCACGGCUGCCCAAGUUCAAGCUGUACGCGUGCGCCGGUGCUGGCAAGUGCGUGACGGUCACCAUGGAGCGCGACGCCGCGUGCCCCAAGUGCAAGCUGCCGAUGGCCACGGAGAUGACGUUCGUGAUGCCGUCCGCCGCGCCGAGGGCGGCCGCCGGUGGUGGUAAGGGAGGCGGCGGGAAAGGCGUGGAUGACGAGGAGGAGCGCGGUGGCGGCGGCGGGUAUGUGAAGGGGCUGGUGACGUACAUGGUCACCGACGGGCUGGAGGUGACGCCCAUGUCGGCGAUCUCGAGUAUUACGCUGAUCAACAAGUUCAGCUCCGGCAAGGACGUCGAGCUCGCCGAGAAGUACGUCAGCGUCGGCAUGGACGAGGUUCGUGCUCGUGGAUUAUAUAUUGCGUCCACCUGCCUCCAUUACUACCAGUUUUCGAUCAUGCAUAUAUAUGAUCCCGAACUUCUUCUGAUUUCUGAUCAUCUUCGUGUCCGGCGGCGGCGGCGGCGGCAGGGGCUGGGCCUGCUGCGGGCGGCGCUGAGCUCCGACACGGUGCUCUCCGACGUGUUCCUGGCGAGGAAGAAGUGAAGGCGCUGAUCCAUGCAAUGCAAUGCAAGCUCCGACGACGACGACGAUCCUUGGAUUUGCGCCGUUGCAUGGUGGUGUCUUUGUGUUCGUCUUCAUCAGUGUUUUUGCUGUCUCGUCGUCUGUCUUCCACGCUGAACGAACACGAUGUGUGCCUGUGUGUGUUCAGUUCAGUGACACUAGUAUUCGUGCUGCAGACCCUUUUGUGCAGCUACAUGCCACUCUUGUUUUUCUUUUUUUCUAUUUCGACGACCGUUCAGCGUGACAAAUAAAUGGAAAUUUCAGCAGCAAAUUCAGCCGAGUUUUUUUUUUGUGUCAGUAUAAAUAGCUUCUGCGUGUACACGUGCGUGGCUAGGUUCGCUUCAAUCUGCAGUUCUACAAGCUGUAUCUGCACUCAAAACUUGUUUCUACUUGUUGGACUCCAUCGGUUUGCAAUGCUCUGUGCAUAAGCCAUAAGUAGUAGUCAGGAUAGUGUUCUUCUUGUAACGAAAUAAGUUUGCAUGGUGAAGACAAUGAACGAGCAAGGCACUGUAGCUACUCUUUGCUGCGGAGUACUGUACAUGGCUUUGAUUGAUAGCUAGAGCAGUGAUUCUCUUUGCUGCUGAUAUGGAGAUUUGCUGUGUUUUAGGUGUCUGAAUUCUAGUUAGGCAACAAUCGAUUCUUAGACAAAAAACAGUCAAGCUCGUUGGAGAAAAUUUACUAUUGGCACUGCUGUGCUUAGGCCUUGUUUAGUUUCCAAAAACUAUCAAAAUUUUUUCAAGAUUUCCUGUGACAUCGAAACUUAAGACACACGCAUGAAAUAUUAAAUAUAGAUGAAAACAAAAACUAAUUGCAUAGUUUGACUGUAAAUCGCGAGAUAAAUCUUUUGAGCUUAGUCAGUCCACGAUUGGACAAAAUUUUGGGAACUGAACGAGGCCUUAAUUAUUCCCAAUGCAAGCGUUGAGCUGCUUCACUGCAUGUCAUAUUUGCCAACAAACAACGCAUUCGUCGGCCGCCUGUACCAGAGCGUGGACCGCGUGGACAAGUUGGACCUUCUGCAGCCCAAGGUGCCGCCGCCGGACGGCGAUCGCGACCAGCUGCAGCAGCCGCUAAUGAGGUUUCCGCGCGCGUCGCUGCAUGAUGGUGACCACAUUGCGCGUUCACGGUCACCAGUUGCCUGGGCGGAGGACUGCCCCGGGUCCAGGCACCAGUGUGCAAGCACGUAACGGCCGCCUGUACAAAGCUAGCUAGGCUGCCAAGGACGAACUGCUCUACCCCGAUCGAUCAUCUGCCGGUGGUGCCGCUCUUCCUUCCUGGCCAGGAACCAAGUGAUAGCUAGCGAUGCUGAUGCUGAUGCUGAUGCUGAUGCACUGCCGCUCGCCCGUACGUCAGAGGACGUUUCACAACUUUUUACCCCACCCUACGUUCGUUCUCCUACUGUGCAGAAGAAGAUCCACACGGUCAACAGGUGAACGUACGGUUGCCCACAAAAUUGUGUCUCCAUCCCGUCCAAUCGCUCCAGUCUUCUCCGUCUAUACAUAUGUGAUCAGUAUUGAUGCCGGCAGGAGCACUCUAUCUCUAUGUGCAGUAUAAAUAUGCCAUCUUAAGAAAAACGAUGCAAUUAACUUGUCGAUGGCUGCAGUCCAAGAAAUUCUUAAGGUGGAUAUUGCUAAAGCCUUCGACUCUGUCGCUUGGCCCUUUCUCUUAGAAGUGCUGCAACAUAUUGGUUUCCACGAAGAUGGACCAACUAGAUCUCUAUCCUGCUAUCCACUACAAGCGCUAGAGUUAUCGUCGGUGGCAGACCGGGUCGGCGCAUCGCGCAUGCGCGUGGUCUCCGCCAAGGCGAUCCCAUCUUGCCAAUGCGUUUUGUGAUCGUUAUGGAAGUGCUCAAUUCUCUGAAUAGAGAAGCCGAUCGUCGCUCAGUCUUGUCGCCUUUGCCGGGUAACGUCAUUCAGCAUCGUGCCUCGCUGUAUGCUGAUGACCUCAUCGUGUUCACUGCACCCAAGACUGAAGACAUCCAAUGUCUACUACAGAUCUCACAGCUAUUUGCCGGAGCAUCGCCUACUGUUUGUCGCAGUGGGCAAUUAGACAGAUAGACAAGAGGCGAAAAGCUUUUCUCUGGACAGGUACCGAGUCAUGCUCCGACAGAAAAUGUAAGGUCGCUUAGCCGGUGGUCUGCAGGUCCCUGGAACUAGGAGGCCUGGGAGUUAUUGAUUUGCGUCUUUUCGGCUAUGCACUAAGGACGAGAUGGAAUUGGCUCGCAAGAACACAAACUAACAGCUGCUAGGCAAGACUACCAGCACCCAAGGAGGCAAUUGUCGAGGCUAUGUGUAAUGCAAGUCUAUCAGUCAUCGUCAGCAAUGGUGGCAACACUGUUUUUUGGACAGAUAACUGGGCUCCAGUCGGUCCGCUUCAUCUCUUUGCCCCGGCACUUUAUAAGGCAACGUCUAGGAUGGGUCGUAAGCGCUUCUGAAAGGUCCAAAUGGCUAGAGAGGGGUGAAUAGCCUAUUUAAAAUUUCUACAAACUUUACUAAGCAAGUGAGUUAGUAAAACAAAUGGCGAAGCAAUUCUAGCACUAGCUCAACUAAGCUAUGCAAGCCACCUAUACAAACUAGUACAAGGCUAAACACUAAAACACAACAACUAGGGAAAGCUAGCUACACUCCUAAACUAGAAGACUAAACUAAACGACAAGCAAGGUAUACAAGUGAGUAAAGGAGUGGAGAGUGAUGGUUAUACCAACGUUGUAGAGUAGAGAUAUAUCCAACCAAUCACUCACAAUCACAAUCACAAUAGAUAAUCCUUGGCAAGAGAUGACACAAGAUUUUUUACCGAGGUUCACUUGCUUCCCGGCAAGCUACUCCUCGUUGUGGCGAUACACCCACUUGAUGGAUCGCGAGCUAAUUGAUAAUCCAAAGCUAAACCCUCAGCGGGUGCCGCACAUCCACUCACAAGAUGAGGAUCCUCCAAGCCACGAGCAAUCCACUAGAGUAGCCAAUUACGAUCUCCCGCGGGGAAGGCUCAAGAACACUUCACAAAUCACUUGGUGAGGCUCGAAACAAUCUCCAAUCACGAGCUCAACACCACCGCUGCUCCAAGCCGUCUAGGGCGUCGGGAAAUACCCAAGAGUAACAAGAAAUCCGCAGCAAACUCAAGAAUCAAGUGCCACUAAAUGCAACUCUCAAAGCAAUGCACUUGAAUCUCACUCAAUCUCACUAGGAUUAGCAAACAAGCAAGGAGAUGAGUGGAGGGAGUGUUCUCUAGGUCAAAGUAUGUCUCAAGUAAUCAAAAGUGCAAGAGAGAACCCCCUAAAGCCGGCCACCUCCUAUUUAUAAGCCCCCUCAACAAAAAGAGUCGUUGGCUCUUUUCACUGGGCUGAAAAUGGGGGCACCGGAUGCCUGCGUCCGGUGCACUGGGGUUAGUCACGUGUCCUUCUCGAAUCUCGCGUGUCAGUCUCUAACAGCUACCUGCAAAACACAGGACGCUCUGCAGAUCCACACCGGACUAAAACUCAGGGAGGUAUGCAAAUACUCGGGGUCACCGGACGCUGAGCACCGGACCGUCCGGUGCUCACUAGACUCAUACCCAGAGAGGUUCGCAAAACCGCGCGGACACCUAAGUCAGAACACCGGACGCUCCAACCUGCGUCCGGUGCCUGGCGUCCAGUGCUCAACCCUAGCUGAGCCAGGUAGCCUGUACACCGGACGCACAGGCACAACGUCCGGUGCUUUUGGGCCAGCGUCCGGUGAGUGUUUCUUAGCGAGAAAUAUUCCCGCGACUUCUCCAAAUUUUUUCCAUCGGCGCAAGAGAAAAUAUACACUUAAUUUUCUCAAAAAAUUUUAACCUUAGUUAGUGUAUAAUUGGACAAUAAUUGUCAACUACAAACAAAAGUGCUACGUUAUCAAAAUUAUAUCUAAUAUAAUCUCACGCGUGCAGCCUGCUGUCGUGCACGGCGAUCCACCUGGAGCAUCGCAUGCUACUGCCAGGCCAGGGCAGGCCGUACCGACUCCGCAACCGCA
rnacentral:lncRNA from 1 species